rnacentral:lncRNA from 1 species
UGCUGAUUGAAGCAUUUUCAUGAUGACUGCUUUGAAAUAUUUGUGAAAUAAUUCUAAUAUCUCUGUCAUCUUGAUGUUCUCAUGUACUGAUCAUCUCUUUUCACUCAGUUUGAGAACUUCUUGCAUCUUUGCAUUACAAAUGAUUUUCAAUUGAAAUCUGGAUAUUUGGGAUAUUAUAUUUUGAGACUCUCAAUCUUAUUUAAACCUCUGUUUUAGCUAGCUUCCUCUGAUACUAGUCCAGAAGGGAAAGGGGGUACAGCUUUGUCACUGCCAGGUAUAGGUAAAAGCCCAAGUCUCCCCACCUUGGCCACUACUGACACCUAAGUGGGAGGGCUCCUUGUUACUGCUGGAUGGGAGUGAGAGUUUUGGUUACCCAGGAGGCUUCCACUGAAACCUCCCUAGGUAGGAGGGAUGGAAGUGGUUUGUUUCUGCUCUCAUUGUGGCCUCCACUGGCACAUUACAGGGUGGGGCAGCCUUCUUACUGCUGGGCAGUUUCUAAUGCUCUGACUCUCUAGUAAGCCUCCUCUGUCUAACACCACCUUAGUAGGGAGGAAGAAGGGUGCCUCACUACUCUUGGGUUUGGGUGGAAAUCCAGGUUCUCACUGAUGCUGUUUUCGGAGGGAAGGAAAUUGUUAACUCCUGACAGGGAUGAAAGUCCUAUUUCUCUACUCAAACUUCUCUAUACUACCCUGGGGUUGGGGAGAGGAAGUUGGGAUGCCUUGUUCUAACCUAGCAAGUGUUCAUGCUAGGCUCCCCACUGGGAUUUUGCAGAAAUGAGUGGGAUGGGUGUUUGUGUGGUGCUUGGCUGGAGCAAAGUGGUAUCGUCCCAGUGCUUUCUGUCUUUCUAGGUUGCCACGUUCUUGAUCCUUGGGCUAAAGAGAACAGGCUUUUGUUGUGGCUUUUUUUGGUCUGUACUAGUUGGGAGCUUUCAGUUGCAGCCUUCUUCAGCUCCACGUUUUGGAUAUAUGAGGCAAAAAUAAAAUCCAGAGAACUCACCAUCAUGUUGUUCCUUGGGUCCUGAAGUCCCUGGCUGGUCUGUCUUCUUUUAUCCAUAAUUCAGAGUCUCCUUACAUUUGUUUUACAUAUAAUAUCCAGUUUUUAAUUGUACCUACUGGGAGGGUUGGGAAAAACUGCAUCUACUGCAUCUUUCGAGAAGUGGAUGUCUCCUAUUUCUUUUUCUUUUCUAUUUCUUUUUUUUUUUUCUGAGGAAGAUUAGCCCUGAGCUAACUAUAGCCAAUCCUCCUCUUUUUGCUGAGGAGGACUGGCCCUGAGCUAACAUCAUGCCCAUCUUCCUCUACUUUAUACGUGGGAGGGCUACCACGGCAUGGCUUGCCAAGUGGUGCCACGUCCGCACCUGGGAUCUGAACCAGUGAACCCCGGGCCGCCAAGAAGCAGAACGUGCGAACUUAACCGCUGUACCACCAGGCUGGCCCCUCAUUUUUUUUUUUUUAAUUAGGAGGGCAACAUACAAUUUUCUCAUUAGGUUCUCUAAGAAAGUUAAACAGAAUUAUGAAAAACUGAUUGGUAUAUUCUGUAUUAAAAAGAGAAAACUUGAGAUAGAGAAAUCAUUUCUCUCUGUAAUUUAUUUUUUAAUAUCCAUUUUUCUUCCACUUUCCAUUUCUAUCAGUUUGUUUCUUGACUAGUUUGUCACCAAUAGAUGCUCCUUUAGGACUCACAACACUUCUAUUUAGAAGUGAGAUUUUCGCACUUGAAAGUUCUUACUGAAUGACUUCUGCAUGGAGACGUGUCUCCUCCUUCAUUGUUGUUCCCUUAUGCUUAUCACAAGACCAGGCUACAUACUAGUAUUUAAUAAAUAUCUGCUGAAUAAGUGAAGGAGAACUGAAAAUUAAAAUUUUCUUUUCUCUGAGGGCUUACCUACUUUCUUCUUGCCAUGCUGAAGCAUGAGGCACAUAUGCCUGCCAUGCUUGAUUCCCGACCAGGCAUUUGUAAGCCUGUGCUUAGGACAUUAGCAAAAUUUGUCCAGAAUUUUGCAGUCUAGGAAAAAGCAAUUUUAAUUUCAGCACAUGUGUAAAUUUUUGUUUUAUGGUUUAGAAUUCUUUGUAUUUUGAAUUACAAACAAGAGGAUAACAGAAUGGUUCCCAUGAGUGUAUGUGUCACUCCUAUUGCUCCUAAAGAAAGUGACAAGAAUAUGACAUUAAAAAGAUUGUAGGCCAUUUUUAGGAUGUGUUUCCUUGAUCCCCGAAUCCUUUUUUUAUUUUGGAUGAUUUUCUUUUUUUAGGCAAGUCCUGGUUUGAUUGUCUUUUUAAAUCUUCGUCCUGUAUUGUGCAAUGUGUAUGUGUGUAUACACAGAGAAGGGAUAACAUUGGACCAUCAUUUUUUAGGGCACUGAACAUAAUUUUAAAUUUUUUGGCAAGCACAAUUAUACUUUAGAUAACGAUUCCCCCAUCAUUGAAACAUUCUUUAAUGCAUGUAGGAGAACAUGAUUCUUUUUAGUACUACCAAAUAUGUUUGGUUCAAAUACUAAUAAUACUUGCUUUUCUGCUUGUCUUUAGAUUCUGCUUAAGGAAAUGAUGAAAGAUUUAACUCACUGUACUUUUGUUAGAAAGUAUGGAAAUGUUUGUCCAUGGGAGCUUUCGUAGCCUGCUAGAAUGGAAAUUCAUCGGGGUGGGGGGAACCACUUCAUUUACUGCCUAAGAGCUGUGGAUACAUUCCCUGCAUCUUUCAAAGGCAUCUUUCAUGCCACACAAGCAAACUGUAGCCAGUGAAGGAACAGAAAGAGCACCUCUUGCAUGAGCCAAUGUCAGCUAACUUGCACAGCAGCUGUGCUAGGUACCAAUGAGGAUUACCGCCGGACCCAGUUGCAAGGUUCUGUGUGGUUGAAGAGACAACUGACUGUCUCAGGGGACCACUUUGAUGGAGAUUGCAGCAAUAAUGCAUCCCCACUGUUGCUAGUAGAUAUCACGGCCAUGUAGUACAAAAUCGGUGCCCGAAAAAAUCAGAAAGUAAUAAAAAGGAAAGAGAAACCUCAGAGAUUUUACAUCUUAAUGUGAGAGACUAAAACAAAUAUCCCGGGCUUGUUGCAUUCACUCGUAAGGAAAAGGAGGCAGUGGAAGGGAUGCCUUUAACUGAGAAAACUUGCAGGGCGUUCAGUCUUUUCGUUUGAGAACUAUUUGGGUGUGUUGUGAAAUAAAGUUGCAGAGUAGGCAUUCAGACCUUUAUGUGCUACAUUUAGUAGGAAAGAUUCCCCCACCCCUCCCUUAACUACAAGAAGCCAGAGUUUUCUGUGCAAACUGAAACAGGCGUUGCAAGAAUCAGAUUCACUUUGGACGACUCUUCACAUUCCAAGUCAUCAUUGCAUUAGGCAGCACAAUUCCAUCUCUGGUUGAUGGGCAGAAAAAGUGGGCAGCUUGCCAGGUAGACGUUUCCAUGACUCCCAGCCCCCAAAGGUGAUGCGUUUUUCAGCUAAUUCAAUGAAGAGUGGGCUGAACUUUGGGUCUAAACGAGACAAUAGCUGCCUUCGCAGUAUCAGCAGAAUGGUUGAUGGGAAUGCUCUCUACAUUUGGCAGAGAAUCAUGUGACCUUACGACUGAGAUUUUGUGAUGGUGCCAACGGAGACUUGGAAAAGCAGCACCCGUCCUGACUUUUUUCUUCUUUUCUAGCAUGGCUCAGAAAAUGGUGGAUCUUAAUACUUGACUUUAGCCAGACUCAGCAAGCGACUGAGCUUUGAAGCACAACUUCGCCUUUAUUCUGGGUUUUUGGCAGGCCACCAGGAGGCUGUCCCUUUCACGCCUGAUAAAUUCUGCUGCUUAUCUCUAAAUAGGGAGAAAAAAAAGAGGAAAAUAUAAACAGACUAUUGGGGCAUAACAAGUGAAUCCUAAAAUUGUACGUGCUUUUUGGUCUUUUGCUUUUUCUUACUGCUGAUUUUUUAUAUCCUUUCUGCUUGCUGAAGAAUCCAAGUAGUUCUUUUUUUUUUUUUUUUUUUUUUGGGUUAUAAUGAACAGGCAUUUGAACUGGGCAAACAGGACGAGAGCAGCAGUGAGCAUGAGAUCAUUGCAGCAGAGUGUAGCAACCUGGCACCCUGCCUUCUCACCCUUUUGGUUCAGGAGACAAACGUGUGCAAUCCUCAUUUCUAAAGUCAGCACAGCCUGGAAGAAUUCCUGGUUGCUCCCACCUUCUACCAUUCUGCUGCCAGGAACGGCAAGGAUUGGUGCAGCUUCUGCGCAGUGCUUUGUGCCUGGAAUCCCGAGAAGGAAGAAAAAGAAGAUAAGCACCCUGGUCCUUUUUUCCAAGAAAUAACAGGAGCCCGGAAGAAAAAAAACUCUGAGUUUGUCCUACUCCAUGCAACAGUGCUGAACAAAACUGAGACGCUCCUGCUCAAAACAAAAACAAAAACAAACAAACAAAAAUCCAAACCAAAACAAACCAAAAAAGGCAAACAUUGGCUUGUGUAACUGCAGAGACAUCGGGCUUUGUAAAGCAGCUUUGUAAGGCAACCUAACCAAAUGAGCCUUCUUUAUUUUUGUUAUUUCAAAAAUAUGGCAUAAUUAGCAAUAUAUUGCACUUGGUGAAAUCGCACCUUUCAUAUCAGGGAAAAACUUAAAAUGGAUAUGAGAAGUGAAGAAAGUGAUCAUAGGAGAAAAUCAUCUCAGGUAAAAAUAAAAAGCGAAAGAGCAAUUAAUAUGUAAUAUUUUGAAAGAAAAAAGCACUAACUUUGACUGUGUUUAGUUAUAAGGAUUCGUUUCAUAUUCUUUGUGGAUCUAGCUGUUGGAAUUUUCAUUGAUGGUUUGAGAAUUUAUAAUAUUACCUACCCUUGUGAAAAAUUUUUGUCUGAGUUUGUGAUCACUGUACAGUUUGAGUCCCUUUGAAUAUAUAUCUGUAUAGCCAUUCAUAUGACAUAGGUGGAAUACGGAUUAAUAGAAAGUGAUUUAGGAAAAAGAAAAAAAUGUAGUUUUCAUUUGUCGUACCAUAUAAAAGGAAGUGAAAUCUAGGGGUGGGAAUAAAGUUGUGCCUUUUCUUAACGAUCUAAUAAGAGAAUGAAACCAGAAUAUCCAUUCUUACAGUUAUGAUAAAACCUAAAACAAAUGUUGCCUUUUAUUUGACAUCUGAAUUUAUAAAUGUGUUGAAAUAUUUUUACUACAGUUGAAUGCAUAAUUGUUGAUUUCUUACUACAGUUUUUAACAAGUAUGAGAAUAAUUAGAAAAAUAAUGGUAAAAAAUUAUGUAGAUCAAAUUAUCUAUAUAAAAUCUAUAAAACACAUUUUAUUUUCUUUAUUUCAAAGCAUGUAAAACACUAAGGAAUUCUUAUUUGGUAUUACUAUUUUUCACAAUGAAGAUAUAGUUUAAGAAUACUAAAUAUUGUGGAUAUGAGUGAAACGAUUAAUGAUUGUACAUGACAUAAUUUUGUUGCUGUUGAGCUUAGAAUCUUAACAAAUGUGUAUGUGACUGGCUUUCUGUUUACUCUUUGUGUGUUUAAUUAUUGUCUGGUGGUUUACAAUUUUUUUUAUAGCAAUUUAUUUUCCCCCAACCUGUUGACCAGAUGAGAGCUGUAUGUAGACAUAUGUUUUAAGUAUAUCUUUUUUGAAAAAGAAAUUUAAGUAUACUGUGUUGAAGAGACAAAAUAUUCUCUUUUAUGCAAUAGAUCUGGAGUAUAAAUGUUAGCCCGCAGUAGUAAUAAUAAUGCUGUUAAUGGGUCAUUAAUUUUAGUUUUCUGAUAUUCGUUUAUCCAACUAUUGUUAAUUUCAGUAUUUUUCCAACAAUAGACACAUAUGUAUAUAUUUAAGACUUUUAAAUAACUUCCUGUGUUCUCUGCCUAGUCAACAAGCUCUUACUUGUUUUAUGAGAAAGUUAUAAUGUUACCAAUUCCUUGAAACCACUGACAGAGGUUUUAUAAGAGUUAAAACAAGCACAGUGUAACUCUUACACAAUUAGCUUAAUAGUUAAUUUGGUCUUAAUUAUAGGCUGGUAAUACUACAUUCAUGCCUCACAAUUACAUAAUUCAUACGUGCAUGUAUGGAUCCUUUUUUUUCUUUUAAAACUCAUCAUUAAUUAGAAUAGUCUAAUUCCAAAAUAUUCACUAUUAAAAGAAAAGUAAUUGUGAAAAAUCUUUCAAUAUACUACUUUUAGAAUUCUCCUGUAUAUAAGCCUGUAUUUAGUUUAGCAUAUUUAUGAAGGCCUUUAACUGGGGAUAUGCAUCCUUAGAGCAUUUCAGCACUUAAAAUAUUUAUACUAAAGGAUUGAUAUUGUUAGUUCCAUUUCUUAACUUCAUCAGAUAUUUACAACAAAUUCUGCUUUAAUAGGGAGCUCAUGUGAGAUGUUGCCCAUUGGCAUAAACCCGUAGAUCCGAUCUUGUGGUGAAGUGGACCUCACAAGCUCGCUUCUAUGGGUCUGUGUCAGUGUGGUAAUCUGACAAAAUGCUAUACUCAAGGCUGUGAAAUAAUAUUUUAGUCAAACUCCUGUUAAACUCUAGUGGAUUACUUUUGAGGUGAUUAUAUUUUCCUUUGUUUUUCGUGUAUACUUUAAUCCUCAUUUGUCUUACGAGGCAGGUUUCAAUUGUCAACCACUUGUAAGGGGUUAUAGCACAGCCAGUCAAGUUUGAAUCCAGUAUACUUUUUGCUUAAGAAUUGCUUAAGAAACUUGAAUUUUUUAUAACAAGGUUUGAACCAAGAUCUGAAUAGAUCCUGUUCAGAAACUUCAGUUCACAUGACAGUGGUUAGCACCUUAUCAAUAAGAAAAAUUAAAGGCUAUAACUGGAAUUAUGUGUUUCUCUUGAGCCUAUUUCUCUUGAAAAAUGAAGCUAAAUGCUGUUGACUUUUCAUAUUUUUAAUUGCUGGUAGAACUAUGCCAGGAGAGAUGUCAGAGGACAUUUUGUAUGACCUAUGCUGGGAGCUCAAGAGGUUAGGAUAGUCUUAGUAGACACACAUUGAGUUUAUUGGUGUUAGAAUAUUCUAUCUACAUCCUUGCCAAGCCCUUAGGUAUGUGGCCGCCAUAUUUGGAGGAGCUGACUGAAGAUAUGAUAAGGAGUUUGAAGCAACAUUGGAAGCUGUGUGCAUCCGGGUUGAGGUAGUAGGUUGUAUGGUUUAGAGUUACACCCUGGGAGUUAACUGUACAACCUUCUAGCUUUCCUUGGAGCACACUUGAGCCAUCGAGGAGUUCUUCAUCACUUUAAUCUGAUUGAGCCAAUUUCUGUUCAAGAAGGUAAUGUGUCAUAAGUAUUUUGGAUAAUUGAUUUGAGCCUUUAUUACAUUAAAAUGAUCCUUUCAUCCUUAAAUAUGAGAUUAUUCCAUUUGCAUCUACUCAUAAACACUGGUGAGAUGGUAUUUCUAAUAGGUUGUUACUCUAUGAUCAAACAUUUUUAAGAACUGGUGAGUAGUGACAAAUCACAUUAAUAUCGCAGCUUUUUUCAUCCAUAGAUUCUCAAAAUUUGGCACUUAAUUUUGCAAACUGAUCAUUGGUCUUUCUUUUUAUUUUUAUUGGCUGCUUAGACCCUGUAGUAAAAAAAUAUAUAUAUCUGCUACUGUCAGUGACUUCCAUAGCACAUUAUCCAAGUCUUUCUUAUGACACAUCACUUUCUCCCUUAUGUUGUGGCUACCUAUGUGCUUGUUUAUUUUUCCAUACUAGACUGUAAGCCCCUUGAGGGCAAAGUCCAUGCUUUCUUUUUCAUUGUAUCCCCUGCAAUGCCUUACAUAUAAUAACUAAAUAUUUAUUGGAUGAAUGAAUGAAGUAUAAGAUCUUACUCUGUGAUGAGUUCCCAUUGAAUAUUUGAAUGAAUUACAACAGUGGUCACAAAUCUGAGUUUUGUGUAUUGGUCCAAAAAUUUGCAUAACUUUAAUUCCCAGACUACUCUACAUCUGUAAUAUUCUUGACUUGUUUUUUGACUGUGUCGAGUGUGUCUGCUCAUCCUAGACAUAUACUUUCAAAUUUAGGAGUGCUUUUUCUCUAGAAUAAAAAGAAUAUAGCAAAUUCAUUUUUGUUAAGUUCACUAUAGUUUAUAAUCCUAAAUUUAGAUUAAGUAUAUUUCUUUUGAAUUUUUAAAUUCCUUGAUUUCCAGAUGAAUGGUUUUUCUUUCAGCAUCAGUUUCAUGUCAGCUUUUUGUAUUUUGUAAAUCUCCCUUAUCUUCUACCCUUUAUUUUUGUACAGCUAUAUCUGUUGAAUAAACCAGAGACAACUAAACCAGAGACACAUCAAUAAAUUACUAAUAAAUAAGUAUAUGAAGUAUAAAUUAAGGAUUGGGUCACAUUUUUGUUUGAAGGAAAGGCACCCACAAUAUUCCGUCUAUAUAAAGCAAAUGGGUCUCUUUGGAGUCCAUUAACGUGCUGUCAUCUUUAGUGACAGUUAAUGGUGUAAUUCAUAUAGAAAGCCUAGUUUUAUAGAUCAUCUUUCAGUCACAGAAUUAAACAGUUGUAGAUAUUAAAUAAUUGUAGAUAUGUGCUUUAAUUUAAACUCCGGCUGAAACAUUGCAUACAUAAGAAACAAUUUUCAGAUACAAAUAUAUGUUAAGAACCCUAAGGUCGUGGGUAUGUAGUGAUGAACUUUCUAUAGAACAUUCUGGCAUCCAGAAUACCUCAGAAUCUGGAAUUUACCAACAACGGUAGUGGAGAAGGAACUUUUUAAUCACCAAAAGGAAGAACACGUGGGCCUUCGAAAGCUUAAUACCAAUUAUUUCAAGCGAAAUUAUUUGACUAGUAUGCAGAAGUUAAAGACUAGUAGUCUCUAAGAAAGAAAAAUCUUUUCGGGGACUAAUCGAGACAAUGAACAAGAGGUAGGAGAUGAGAGAGCGAGAAAGAGAGAUGGAGAGAGAAUGUAGAGAUGAAAAAGAAAGGGACUCCUAGCAAAGAAAAAGAAUGUUGUGGCUAAUGGUAGAGUUCAAUACCAAGGUGGAAGAAACAGACAACUGAGUGGUAAACAGUUACAUCUUUGUAAAUAAUUUAGCCCUUGAGAGCCUAGGAUCCCUUUCCUCUGUGUGUGUAUGUAUUUGUGUGUAUCCUAAUACUUGGUGUAGAAUUAGAGAGCAAGUCAUGAACAGAAUAAUGGGCCGAAUGGAAUACUACUGCCAAUAAAUGCCUGUUUCCAUGGAGUUCAGUAGAGUUAAGUACAUCACAGAAGUCAACUAUGAUGUACAGUUUCAGGAUAAUCUUAUAAAAAUAGUAUGACGAAUGCUAUUGGAAUCAUGAUGUCUUAUCUACCCUAUCUAAAGUGAACUGAUAUUAUAGGGGAAGAGCUGAAAGUGACAAAGAUGUAGCUAUGAUCCAUUAUGUUAGUCAUGCAGAAAUCAUCAUAAUUCUGAAAGGUGGAGGAUGUAAUUAGCAUCAGUGAAGAAAAUAGACUUCUCCAUAGGGUGAGAAUACUACAUGGGAGAAUUAUGCUUUCACUAGUGGUGAAUAAUCAAUUAUGCUCCUCCAAUUGUGUGGGGUAUUUAGCUUACUAUAAUUUUAUGAAAAAAAUGGCAAAUGACAAAUACACAAAUUGAUAGGACUAUUUUUAAAGAAACCAAGAUUCAGGACUGCUGCUGAUGUCAAUAUCUAGAAGUUAAAUUAUGUCUAAGAAACCAUAGGGAAACAUUAUGCAUUUAUAGAGUUGUCCUUCAAAGGCAGAACAGCUAUACAGAUUAAAUAAUUCACUUCAGAAUUUUAAGUGGUCAAAUUUUACUAUAUAUCAAGGUUUUCACAUUUGGUAACAAAGGAAGUGUGAAAAUUCAGAAAUCAGUUAAAUAGCAGUGAAUUGUACUUUACUUAACCAAUAUCUCUUUUGAUAUCUUGGGACACUAAGUUGUAUAUGUCUCUUAUGUUAAUAGUGGCUGAUUUACCUUAAAUGCUUUGUGGAAUGAGGCAAGAAGGAGUUAGAGUAGGAAGGCAGGGUGGGAAUGAAGGAAUGGAAGAAGGUAAAGAAAGGAAAACCAACUGCAAAGCAAUUGAUUGGGCCUUAUCAGAAAAGUCUAAUUUAGUCCAUAAUAUUAGCUCAUAGUAUUAUGAACUAAAUUGGCCAAAGUAACUAUGAGGGAAUCAGAUAAAUUACUUGGCAAUUGGACUGAGUCUUUUUGAAAAUAAUCCAGCAGUACAUGAGCUAUGUUAUUAGAAUAAAUGAGUCACUUUCUGUAAAUAAUCAUUUUGUUUCUCUUGUUCCCUGUUAUCAAAUGCUGACUCAUAAGCAUAGGUGAUUCCCCAAGAUUCCCCAAAUGAUGAUUCAGGACUCAGCUACCCUGCGCAUUAAUUCACACCCACGCCUAGCUUCUCUUCCACAGAAUGAAGGAAUAACACGUGAGGUCACUGAUCUUGACUCUACCCAUGCUAGUCCCCUGAAUGACCCACAGGGAACACCUGUGAAAGAUCAUUAGGCGAAGGCUCUAACAUACCAAAAGAGCAUGUAUCUCUUGCGUACUAAUUCCUACCACCCACGUCUACUUCCAAGCACACCUGCUACCUGUUAAGAUCAUGUUCUUCAAGAUCUCUGUGCAUCUCUUCCUAAUCCACAAAGCCUUUACUCUUUCUCUGAGAGAUUUUCUCAGUUUUGAGUCCUCAUAGCCCUUGCAACUUUCAUUCCCACAGGGUUUUCACUAACUUCCAUUAUUAGUAGGUCUGAGUGCCCAAAGGGACUGUGACUUACAUUUGUACCUCUUGCAAUGUACACACUUUUUUUUUUCACUGUUGGAUUGACUUGAACUUUAGAUCAUUUAUGGGCGAUGGUGAGAAGCUAUACACACCUUAAAAUAAACUAUGGUUCAGCAGUCCUGUGGUUAUCUGAGCUAUUUCUAGACUCUCCAGAAUAUAUCAUUAUGAGAUGAGAAGUUUUUUUUAACACUGUCUAUGAGGUCUUAUAGGCGAGUCUUGGUUAAGCCUGUGAUGUACUGUUUGAAGGUGAUUUAUGAAGCUAAUCUCUAUUAUUUAUAAUAAAUCUAAGCCUCUCGUGUACAGAAAUAUCUGUCUUUUUGAAACUCACGACUCCUACCAUAGUACUCAGCUUAUAGGAUGAAUUCAAGAACUCUUUGGUGAAUGAAGGAAAUGUUUAAAAUGAAAUGAAAACGUUAUUUGAUGCAGCGGGGAAGUUCUGUAUUUAAGUGGACUUCUUCAAACUUUUAAAGUUUAAAAUUUAAGAGAAGUUAGGAAUAUCACUUUUAACUUUUGGGAAGUCUGUUUACUGGUGGUUCUUGAUCUUUAGGUUGGCAUUGUCUUGUGUGUGCCUUCAUUUUUAAUCUCACUCUACGCUAUGUGAAAUGUGUGAGUUAAUUAAACUACCCAUGUUUCUCCUCUCCGUCUGAUCACUCUUAAAUCCCAAUUCUUUUUCUCUUCGCUCUGGACUCUUGGAGCACUUACUUGACUCCCAUCAUAUUCAGCCUUCUGUUUCCUGUUACUUUUUGUUUAGAUAGGCCAUAGUAAAGUUAAAUUGUAAGUUGUGUAUGUAAUUCAUGUGUGCUUUUACUUAAUAGGCACUUAAAUAGUACUUGAUUGAAAUUAAAAAUAAAAUCUACAUUUAUAAAUGGUACAAACCUUAGAGGUCAACUGGCCCAUUUUCCAGAUGACCAAACUGAGGCCUGGAAUGUUUAAUGAUUUUGGUAAGGUCAAUCCAGUAGUUAUGGACACAGCCUAGAUUUCUAUCCAGGUCAAUGAUCUAUCCAAGAAGAAAUAUUUUGUGUUUGCUAGCAAUAGAUUUAUUGGGUAGUUCUCUAUUGCUAUCAAUAGAUUUGGGGGUAGUAUCAUUAAACAAAUUUUAAUUAAUUAACUAAUUGAAAUGAGGUAAGGUUUUAUUUCUGAAAGACUACAAAUAACAGUAAUUUAUCUUCCGACUCAAAUACGGUAGAUAUAAAAUUAAUAUUAUUUAAAAUGAUCUUCAUAGCCACUUAAUUCUGUUGUUUCAAGUACAAGUGCACUCUUAUUCUUCUGGGUCUAGAGAGAAAUUUAGCUACCCUCUAGUUCCACCAUGAUAUUUCCCUUCCUUCCAGAACCCUUCUCCAGGGGAAAGGAGUAUGACCUAGCAGUUGGUGGUUUAUCUUAAGUAAAAAGGGAAGAACUAUGAAUUGGUUAACCUGUUAGUAUUCUGUUGCUUGGGAGAGUGAAAGCUAAUAUGAAUGGCAGCCAUCACUAAGUCCCACUUCAGAACUCAAUUCCCUAUGCCCCCAUGAGGUGUGCAAGAUAUCAUGAUGUAUAGUAGACCAAAAGAAGGUAUACUCCCUUUCAGAAUAACUCCGACAUGACUUCGUCAGUGAGUCUGAAUCUGGCCCCCAAGGGCAGCCAGUUUCCAUCUCUCAUAUGAAGGCAUCACGUGGUAAAGCAAAAUUGCAAUGGAUCUGUUCUUUUGAUGAACCUAACAGCAUCGUUUCUUACAGUUGACCUAGAUAAUUUGGACUAUCUAUGAUACUUUCAAGUCAUUCUAAGGUGUAUCAAGAAGAUAAAUUCUUACACACUUGUAGGCUGAUGCUGUUAUUUCAAAUAGACAUGUAUGGUCCAUGACAGUCUAAAUAUUUCCUUGAAUUUAAUUGACUACUGAAAACUAUUCACUGGUCAGGCAACGACUAACAAUUGUAAUAUUAUUUUGAUGAUACUUUAAUGAAAGAAGUGUAGGAGUAGUAGUAAUUGUAGUAGUCUUAUAGUUGUAUAUAAUUUUAGGUUUCCGUUUCCAUCUAAAUCUCAAUGUACAAAACAAUCAAAUUCUUAUACUUCUUAUUUCUCAACCAAUUAAUACUAUAGAUAGAUGGAUAGACAGCAUUUUUCGAGUCUGAAAAAAUCAAAAGGUUAAAUAGAGUGAACACAAUUGAAAUUCAAGUGGUCUCAUCUCCAUAUAAAGAUAAAGUCUUACACGCAAGCAACUGGGUAGAGUUCAAGAGUAAAGUAACUGGCCUUGCUGUUAAUUAUAUUUUAUUGUGUUAUAAUUAAAAGACCAGUUCUGCAUAAAUCUGGAAUUAGAUCAGGUUCCUGGCCAUAAAGUUUUCAAUAUAAUUUAAUCUAAUGAACUUAAAUUUGGCAAAUGGAAAUGACACAACCAAUUGUGAAAACACUGUGUUUAUAGUAAUGAAGAAGACAUGUGUUUGCAAUUUUGCUAUGUAUACUAGAAACCUUCCUAUUUAGUACAGUUGGGAUCAGUAGUUGAUUACUUAAUCCAUAAAGAUUUUUAAAGAAAUGGAUCUUAAAAAUUAACACAUACAUACAACACACAUUUUGUUUAAAUUUCAAAACUUGAUUAUACGUUUAUUUGCCAGUAUUUUUAUGUAACCCAAGAACUGUUUUGAGUUUGGGUUGCUGAUUACAAAUCAUAGUCAUCUUUUCUUUCUGUAAAUCCCAUAAUUCAUCAUUUAUGAUUUCUAAUUUUAGUUGCUUCAUGAAUGUCUUUAAGUGCAAAACCAAUGCAAAGAAAUGUGAGAGCAGAAUCCUAUUUUCUCCAUGAUUUUGUAUAAUCUUUUAAAGUUGUCUUACCUACAUCUAAUUCUAUAGCAUUUUUAAAAGUGACUGAAUUUUAUUGUCGUUUCAAAAUAUUCAGGUUUAGAACAUCUCUCAUUCUUUUUACACUCACAUUUAAAUUGGUUUAUAUGAUGUUUAAUUAAAUUAUACAAUUUCAUAUUAACCCAACUGGCAUAAACUGGUUUGGGAACAAAUGUAACUGACUGCCUGCAAGCAUACAAAUCACUUGAUGGGAGCAGAAAUACUUGGGUAUUCUAGAACUUUUCUGAGGUGACAGAAAUGUUCUCUGCACUGUCCAGAACAGUAACCACCAGCCAUAUGUGGCUAUUGAGCAUUUGAAAUGUGGCUAGUGUGACUGAAGAAUUGAAUUUUAAAUUUAGUUAAUUUUAGUUAAUUAAAAUUUAAAUAGGUACAUAUAGCUAGUAGCUAGUGCAUUGGACAGUGCAGUUCUGGAAAGUAACUCACAUUUACCAUGCUAGGGGCAUCUGCUGAGAAUGUCAGAUAAUCUGUAAGGUGGUGAAUGGUUAAGAGCACUUCCUCUGUGGUUGAAUUAAGAUUUAGGGGAAAAAUUGCUUGGGCAACGCAAAUUGACUUGGAAUUCGUUUUUGUUUUCUUUUGUUGUAUUGGUUUUUAUUUGUUUAUUUUGCUCCUAUUUGAGUAUGGAUUUAGUUUGAUGGGAUUUUAAAACUUUAUCUCAAAGAAGGAAACCGAAAUAUUGGAAACUGGAGAGGUUUGCAACUCUUUCUGAAGCAUUCAAUCAACAUAAACCUAAUUAGAAAGUAAUGACGUCACUUCUCACAUUGGCGCAAAAAAAAGAGUGUUCUUAAUUUAGGAUCAGAGAUCCAUAGGAGUCAUAGGAUGAACUUGUUGAGUCUCUGGGCACUUUGAAAAUGUUUAUAAUACUUUAAAGGUAUGUGGGUGUGUUUAUUUUUCUGAGGAAAAAGUCCCAGCUCUUGUCAGAUUAUCAAAGGAGUCCGUGAUUUCCUGAAAAAGUCAAGAAUAACUGCAUUCGGUUACUGUUUAAAAGUUUUUGAGGUGCCACAAGUUAAGUAAGUGUUAAACUCUGAUAGAACUCAAAGGUUUCUCUUAUAAAUAUUGUAAAUCUCUCUAUCUGUUCAUCUAUCUAUCAUAUACAUUCACAUUAUGCAGUUUAUUUAUGUAAUUACAUAUGUAAAAAAUUAAUUAAACAUUGUGCAACAUAUAAUUUACAUGUAAUUUAAUUAGUAACAUAUGUAUAAUUCAACUAAUUGGCCCAACCUAUGGAACACGGUUGAAGAAAGAAAGAGGAUAGCUUAAUUCCUUGGAAAGAUUCAAUAAAAUUGGCUAGCUAAAAUCACUAUCAUAUUAAAUUUGAACACUCAACUGUAAAUUAUUGGAAAAAUCAUAAAAUUAUAGAUUGACCUACCUCUCAGUUUACUAUCUCAGUACCUUUACAUGUUCUUGUGUAUGAAUGACUGGGUCCACUAAAGUGGUGCAUUAUGAAAUAAUGAAAAGACCGUCACCAGUCCCAUACCCAAUGAAAGGACUUGUCUCACAGGAAAAUACUGGAAAAAUUAGAAAAUUGUAUUUUUAUGUGUUUUAAGAACAAUUAAGAUAUUUGUGUUUUGAUAUAUUUUUUGUUUCCUUUUCUAAGUAAUAUUUUUGUUUAAUUCGUCAACUACUGAUCCCAAACACAUCAGGUAAGAUGGCUUCUACUGUGACAGUAUUAGUUCUCUUUUGAAAGUGGCAAAACCCCUGUCGGGGGUUUAUAUAAUCGCCUACAAACGCAUAAAUGGUAAAUCCUAGGACUUGAAACAAAGGUGUCUUAGACCAAAGGAGUUGAUUUCAACUACUUUGUUACAAUGUCUCCUGUGAUAGAGGCUCAGCCAACUUAAAAGCAGCGGGUACUCACAGUACAAGUUUGGAAGUAAGAGUUGCUCUCCUUCAUUUAGAAUGAAAGUGCAGCUCACUAGUCAAGCUGGCCAACGCUUUUUGUGCUUCCAGAGACUUCCUAGACCAGUGUUCUUUUGGUUUAGAGAGCCACACAACAAAAGUUCAAUGGGCUCUUCUCUGUUUCUGAUUUUUCAAAACAUGUAAUAGAAUAAGGUUGCCUGACCUACCUAAAAACAGCAAAUGUGUUUAUUUCUAACUGGGAAUUUUUCAGCUCACUGUGGUGAAGUGUUUAUUUAAUGAUAGAGAAAAACAUGGAGUGGCAUCUCUCUAUGACUUAAAUGAUUACUUCUGCUUUGAAGUCUAAGUAUUUCAAAACAUGGGAGUACAGUAAACCCGACUCACAGCCUACUUGAGGUUAACUGAUUGAUAUUUGGGAAAUAUCUAACAUUGUUCUUUAUAGAAUCUAGGGCCUCAGAGAAGACCUUUUUCUUUCCCUCUCCUCUGAUAACAUUAGCCUGACACUUGCUUAUUAUUCCCUGCCUCGCUCUGGGUUUUAAGACCUCUUUGAACAGUGCUUCUCAGCUUUAUUGCUUGAGGACCUGCAGGGGGAGGGGAAUGUGGGACAGGAGGUGCGUGUAGUUUGAAAAACUCCUCAAUAUUAUUCAGGUUUUCCAUCUGCAUAGGCACCCAUUCCUAUAGGCAUCCAUUUUGUGAUAUGAUUUCAGAGGCCUCCAAAAGGUCACCCCUGCUCCAAAAUACCCUGGUCUUUCAUUGCCCAUGAAACUUAGAGCACAGUUAUUGCCUACCAUCCGCUCUCCAGUAAGAAGGGAAGUGAACUCCAGCCCUGGAGUCAGGCACACCUGAAUUGUAACAAGUCUGAGUCAACCACUACUACAAAAGCUGAUCUUUUCAUCAGUGCUUCAUAAUCUUCAUCUGUAAAGUGGAAAUUAUGACUCCUGUAUUGCAAGAUUUUUGUGAAGAUUAAAAUAUGAUAUGUAUUUAGCAAGCAUAGUGCUUGGUAGAUAAGAGGAGUUGAAAAAAUAUAAUUGUUGUGAUCAUCAUUGCACAGAUUAAAUGGUGCCGUGUAUUGUUUACUUAUUAAACGUCCCACAUGUCCAGUGCUGUGGAAUUUACAUGCACAGAGCCAACCACAGGAAACACGAGGAGGUGCUUGUUUUCUCUGAGACCUCCCCCUGGAUUCUGGAACAUUGUGGCUUUGCUGCCUGGCUUUGCUGUUUUGGAUAGGCCGCAUUUCAGACAUUCUUCUCCUUGUCAGUCCAUGGUAGACCAGAAGUCUCGCAUUUUCCUUCUGAAAUUAUAGUCCCUCUUCAUUAUGUCCGAAGUUAAUUCUUUUCCUUUUUCAUAUCAUUCUUAUUUUGAAAAGCAAUUCGCCGCUACUGUGUAUAUAGAGAUAAAGGGGAGCGAUAUAUUGCUUAAGAGCCUUAGUUUUCCCAUCUGUAAAAUAGAGGUAACAAUCUCUGUUGCACUUCUCCAGUGCAAAAUGUUGAGAAAAUAAGAUGUAUAAUGUAAAAAAAAAAAACCUUAGCAUUCUCACAAAUAGAAAAUUAACCCAUUUAAACUUAUUUACAGGAAAUUUGAUAAACAGACGUCUAGGGAAAGAGAAAGUAGCAAAGUAUUCUUAAACUGUUCCUUCCCCAGAGAGAGGAUCUUUCUCUCCGUCUCAUGUCUCUGUCUCUCUCACUGUGACUUUGUCUGUUCCUCUCUGUCUCUCUGCCCCUCUCUUCUUCCUUUCUCUCUUUUGUGUACGUAGAUCCUGCUUUUAUUUCUAUUGCUUAACUCUUCGCUUAACAGACAUUCCCAUAAUGUCUGUUUCCAUUACUACGUGAGUUCCUUUUUCAGAUCUAGCCAAGUGCCAAAAGUAAGAACAUUAUAUUUACUAGAUAAAUGAUUGAGUUAAUUAAAUCAAUUAAUGAGAGCAACUACAGGAAUGUAGACUUUAGUUCAUAUGAAACUGGAAGGUAUUAGCCACAGUGUAAUUAAUAUAUUAAUAGUCGGUCAGUCUUGGUCAUCGUCUUGAUCAAGUGAUGCCAUGGGAAGCUAGGUCAGUCCUAUAAUUUCUUCCUAACAGGGUCCUUUUCUUAGAAAGCUGGUCAUAUCAGUAUAAGCUAGGGCAUGCACAACACCUGUGUGAUAAGGUUGAUUUACAUUAAAUUUGAUUUAUGUUAAAUUUUUUACAGAAAAUUGGAUGUCUCUAUAUUUCCUGAUUAAUUUGCAUUUUUUAUAAUCUGUAGAAACUAAAUUCAGUUUGCCAUGCUAGUUCAGUGAAAGCAUAUUCAGUAAUUUCAUUGUAACCGAUUUUCAUUUUAGGUAAUGGACAGGAGGCAUUUGAACUGGGUUCAAAGGUUUGUGGGGUUUUAAACGUGAUUCCUUUGCUCUCUUCUCCUCAGGCUGGAUGUAGUACUACAUCAGGGUAUUGGCUGGUUUCCUAAAGCAGGAUAACUUCCAGGGAGGAAGCAACGUAGGUAUCUGAAGUUCAAUGGUACAGUGCAUCCAGGGCCUGAUACCCAUUAACCGCUCCUCUCAUCCUACCCCACAAAUCUACAGAAAAGCCACACCACCUUCCUGGGUCCUGGAUGAAGGCCUAAAUACUCUCCAGGAAAUAUCAUCUUUACCUACUUGGCCCUAAGCACUUAUUAUUCCUUUUAUGUUGGUGUCAGAGAUUUCAGGAGCUGGGAUAGUGACCUUGCCCAUUUACAAAUGCUGAUUAUUUUACUGAUGGCUUUGAGAGUGCUGUGGUCUUCAGAGUAGGUCUUUUCAGAUUUGGUGGAUGGUUUUGGGGAACAAGGAAGGGAGACCUUCUUUCUUUGCUUAGAUAGUUUCAUUACAAAGCAUGGGCUUUAGAUAUAGAGUUGCCAGAUUUAGCAAAUAAAAUUACAGGAUGCCCAGUUAAAUUUGAAUCUUAGACACACAAUGAAUAAUUUUUAGUAGCACUACGUCCAAUAGUGUUUUCCAUAUUAAAGUAUCUUAUCCUAUUUCUCCAUAUAUGCUCCACUCCCAUUAAAUAAGGGAGUAGAAACUAAUAAAGAAACCAGAAUAAGAUUUAUGAAAUGAAAUAUCAGGGAAAAACAUAUGAAAUAAUUAUAAUAAUUCAUAUUAAAAUAAUAGAAAAUUGGAGAUAAACUUUUUUCCCUAAAUGUUAGGGUCAUGUAAAAUAAGUAUUAGACUGUAUUACUUUACAUGAUAAAGAAGUUUAGCAAAUGAUGUUUAAUAAAUAGAAGCCAGUUGACAACAUCAGCAUAAAAUUAGAGAAAAAUUUGUUAUAACGUCAAAGCCACGUUACCUGGUGCAUUCUGUGCUAUUCUAAGCAGCCUUGCAUUAGUUAUAACAUAAUUUGUUUCUUUUUGAGCGUUCUGGAGGGAAGGUUUUCCAGAAAAUGAACAUUCUGGUUAAAGCAAUUUCGCUUCUGAGUUAAUGUAAAGCAUCGCUGGCUCUUCCUAUGCUACGUUGCUAUCAGUUACUUUAGAAUCUUUGUUAGCUUUUGAAACAUCAGUUUCCAUCACUAGAUGAAUCUUAUGCGCUUAACCUAUGCUGUGUCUGUGUUUGCCCUAGACUCGGUGAAUAUUUUACAUGACGCCUAGAGAUGGGUGAUACCAGCUCCCUCACUGUGUUCACACCCAUCACAGUCUCACCCUUCCUCACAGCCUGAUCUCUUCCUUCCUGACCAUCCGGCUGCCUCCGGCUCACUGGCACCCAUCCUUCCCUGUUUUACUCAGACCCCCACCAGAGCCAAGCUUCCCAGCUGGGUCUUCUCCCCACACUCAUCAGCCCCAAAUUCCUUUGUGUUCUUGCAGCCUUGGGCAGAGAAUCACCGACCUGGAGACUCUCAAAGUGUCACCCAUCAGGUCACACCAGGCACACAUAUGCUUGUCUACGUGUUCACACGCAAUGAAUCUUUUCAUUUAAUAAGGCAAUUUGUCCUGUCCACUUGGCCCUGUUUUCUUUAUUUUCUACAGAAGGACAUAAGCACAUAAAGAUCAGAAGAUUGUUUUCAAAGUCACAUAGUCACUUACAAGUCAAGGCUGGAAUCCAGAUCCCUUCAUUAAAUCAAUCUUUUCAGAGACCUAAGUUCUUCCUCUGUCGUAUGGGAUCGUAUGACCACAGAACGGUGUUUUUGUGAGAAUUAAAUAGAAUCUGGCUGAACUGGGUAUAGUGGGCUUUCAGAAAAUGUUUGUUUCCUCCCCCACUUUUCACUAAACUGAUAGACAGUUUAUUAGAAUUUAUGAGAAGACCUGGCAUUGGUUGGGGCUAAGAAUUCCAUUCAUUUCCAGAUCUCUGCCUAGCUUGCUUUUUGACACUGACAAAUUUAUUUAACCUUUCUAUUCCUGGACCUAGUUCUUUGCCAUACAAUAAUGUCCUGUGAUUAUAUGAUUCUAUAAUUUUUCUAUUUUAGAGUUUGACUUAUUAAUUAGCAUGUAGUCAUAAUUCAAUAAGUAUUUUCAAAUGAUUAAAUGCGUGAGUAAAUGGUAGUGUCCAAUGUUGUUAUUAUUUUCCAGCUGUUUAAUGACACACUUGAAAUAUAGGUAUUAUAUGGUUUCUGUGGAUAUUUUACAGUAAAGUGUGGGAUAUUUUAAAGUAAUUGGAUUUUAAAAAAUUGUCCCAUAUAGCUAAGUUAGAUUUUUACUCAGUUUCCCAAAUUGCAUUUUGACCUCAUUUAAGCCUCUGGCUUUCUUCUACCUCCUGAAGCUCCUUGCCUUCUCUGUAAGUCUGUACUCAAAGAGUAGCAUGUAUUUUGUAAAAGUUUUAUUAUCCUGUAUACACAAUAAAGUUUAAAUUCCCCUGCAGGACAUUAUGGAACUUUACAAUCUGUUUCCAAUGAGCCAGCAUAAACUUACAUCAAGCUACCCCUGUGUCUCCUGGCCCCGUCUCUUUCCAGGUCAUACCCGCACACCCCUACUCUAUAUUCGGUCACACUGGGGCUCCGUGCCCCAAGGUAGCUCAUGAACAGUGUCGUGGAAUGGACGGCAAUAAGGUUCAUAAACACAGGCUUUGGAGUGAGCCAGCCAGAGCACAAAUGUGGCUGUAUCAUUCUGUAGCUGUGGGGGCUGUCUCUAUAAGCCUCACCUGUUUUAUCUAAAACUAGGGUAAUAAUACAGCAUACAGCUCCUGUGGGGUGAAAUGAAAUAGUAUAAGUUAUACUAUUAUAAUUUAGAACUUAUAAAUUAUAAAUUUAUAAAUUUAAAUAUAUACAAAUAAUAUAAAUUAUGUUGUAAAUUGCUUGUUACCUGAAGGCAAUAAGUAGAAGCUGUUGUGAUGCAGUAGAGACGAACAUGAAACUUUGCUUAUUUUGUUCCUUGUGUCAAAAAGUUUUUAAAUUACUUUUAUUUCUGGCAAAAUUGCAUUCAUUCAUAAAGAUCUGCUUAUCCCCUAUAUUCACAUUAAUAUGUAGUUAACAAUGUUUAAUUUGCAUACUCUGGCAUUUCUACUCUCUUAUUUCUUAAUUGGCAUGGUAUCUUUUCCUAUUUUUUAGUUUACAAGAAAAAUCAGUCAUAAGUAAUAAGAAUGAAGGGGACUCUGACAAUCAUUUAUUCCAAUAUUCUCAAUAACUAAGAGAACUGAAGUUCAAACUCAUUGAUAAUGUAUUUUUUUUGCAAUUAAUUAUAUAAUAUCUGCCUCCCUAGCAGGCUGUGAAUGUCCAAAAAGUAGAAAAGUAUGUCUAUGUGAUCAGUUUAGUAUCCACAGUGAUUGGCACAGGGCAGGCUAUGGUGAUGGAUACUUCUGGAAUAAGUGAAUGUUGUGGAACUACUUCUGGCCAAACUUCUGAAUUCUAGGUUAGUGAUUUUGUGAUAUUCUGUAUUUCUUUUCAUUUGAACUUCACCUUAUUCUACAAAUUUGCUUACUGAAAAGCUAUCAUGGAAGGUUUUGAUCACCCUGGUGUGGCCCAUAUAAAGCCAAUCUUUACAAGAUCCAGGAACUCUUCUGUGUUUUAUAGUGCAAUCACUUAACUUGCUUUGGAGUUGUGAUGAUGACGCAUACUCCUAGAGGCAGGUGCAGGCAAAACUGAAGCUGAAGCACUAUUAUUUUUUCCUGGUAAAGUUGGUUUAGACGUGUGGAUCUCCUACCCUGGACAUCAAACCCAGUGGUCCUCUCUUUUGUCUAACAAUUAAUUGUUUCAACUUUGACUUCCUAAUAAGGCCAAUUGUGUGUGGAUCGUGACUGUCUACAGGCCACGUUCAUGCUUGUUACCUUGUUUUUUACUCCUUAAUAACCCAAGGAGAAGCAGGGAAGUUAUUAGGAUUCCUGUUUUACAGAUGAAGAAAGUGUUUGGUUUGAAUUCAGAUUGCCUUUCUCCCAACUUAGUGUUUACACUGCACAGUUUUGUCCCCCGUUGCUUGGUUGGGGCUGCCUUCGACCUGUGCUGAGCUAUUCUACAUCAGUAGAAUAGUCUACACUGACUCUACCCGAGUGAGAGAAACCUAACGUUCUUCCACGUAAGUUCUAGGAAAGUGCCCAGAACAGCCAUGAGCUCUACGCCCACUGAGUCCCCAUCCUAAAGACCCUUUUAGUUCCUGAAGAUCAACAGCUGGCAAGUUCAGAUUGUGGUUUAGAGAUGCACACUCUGCGUUUAGUAAUUAGCACUUGAACUCAGCAAUAACCUUCAAUGAGUCUUUCAUUUCCCUGCUCGGAGAGAGAGAUCAACAAACAGAGAUAGAGUGUGCUCCAGUAUCAAUUUGCCAGAGUUGGAAUCACUUGUUAGAUGUAUGGCUUUAAACAAGUUCUUUAACCUCUCUGUGCCUCUGCUGCUUCCUCUUUAAAGUGGUGCCAACCUCAAAGGUUGUGGGAAAGGGUGAAUGAAAUAACAAGUGUAACAGAAUAGUACUUGGCUCGUAAUACUCAAUUGAUAUUAACUCCUAAUCAUUGUUAUUAUUCAUUACUUUGUGAAAAUUAAAAGCAACAAUUUCAUCCAGUCUGACUUUAUCAUUGAAAAUAUAGUAAUAUUUUUCUUUAGGUAAAAAAAAGCAAAUUCCUUUUGAAACAAGAAAUAAAGGGAUAUGGAAUUAAUUUCUUCAUAUAUAAUUAGGUGAUUUCAGUUCAGUCUAUUUUCGGUGAAAACGUCUUUGUCAAUUUUGCCCAUGGUGGGAAGGGAACACAUCUCCUCUGGUAUUAUUGACACCACGUUGGGAAUGUAUAUAACCUUCUGUUGAAAGUACGAUUACAAGUGCCAGAUUCUCUCUUUGUACUUGCUUGAAAUUCAGCCCUUUAGGGUUAUGCGUUAAUAAUGAAGGGUGGAAAUUUGCUGCAAGCAUACAGGUUUGAUUUAGACAUAGGUUAAUAUUGUUUGCCUGUAAUAUAUUUAACAUUCCAAGACGGCUUUCUGAUUUAUUUUAUCAUAUCUAUCAUAAAACCGACAAUUAUUAAUCACUCCCAUUUUUCUGUUAAAGCAGCUAGGACACAACAAAGCAGAGUAUUAAUACAGCUUGACAAGUGAUAGAAUUUCAAAGCUCCUUCUCAAGAAAAUGGAAAAUAUUCUGUGCAGGUAGUUGUUAGGAAAAAAGAAUCCAUCUCUACGAGGUUAUCUCAUAUAAAUAUUAAUAUUCCUUAUUUGGCCAUUACUUCCAACAUUUCAUUUUCCUAAUGCACUUUUUACAAACAUAUAAUAUUAUGGUCCAUUACCAACCACUAAUGGAGAAUUUUAUGACCAACUUUUGCACCAAAAACGAUUAUUUGCGGUGUGAGGAUAGAUUGGCAAAACAAGAUAUGGUAGCAUUUAAAUGGCCACUUAUUUUUAGUAGAAGACUUCCCUGGCCGAAAACUUAGAUUGCCAUCUCAUGGCAUCGUUAUCUCCAGGCCCAGAUGGGCGUCAAUUGCACUUAAGAAGCAUAAGGAAAGCCAAUUUGAUUAAAAUAGGCUAUUUGUUAUCGUUAGGAAAUUUGGGGAUGCAAAAAUAAUGACUUGUGUAAUAAAUAUAUGGUUUGAAGCUAUAUUCAUCCUCCAAGGUAAUUAACAAUUCACUUCUUUCAGAAACCAGAUUUUUCUACUGUACACUUUUUUUGGAGAGAAUAGUGGGUAUAAUUCUUGAGAGGUCAAACUGAGCAAAGUGAAUUGUUUCAUUUAUGGUGUGAAUAUUAUGGGAAUUGUUCCAUAGUUCAUUUCAUCCUCUCAAACCAUGAAAUUGUCCUUUUGAACAUAUUUUACCAUCAAAAUUUCUAGAAAAAUACCUAAGGAUCUCAUCUUAGAAUAACAUCAUAAUUCUUUCUGUUUCAUUUUUAUUUGAUAUGUUGGAUAUCUGGAUCCAUUAAAGUUAUUUUUAAAACGUCUUCCUCUACUGAUGUUGCUGCAGUCCAUCUCAAACAUUAAUAUCUGAGGAUAAUGAUAGUGUAAACAAGGAUUCAAUAAAACAGAGAAUUUACGUUUGUAUUUUAAACAGUGCUCAGGAUAUUUGGUCUUAGUCUAGAAUUCAUGCACCGAAAUAGAAGGGGAUAAUGUUUUGGAAGUUUUUUUUUUUUUUUAAUUUUAACUUCUAGGAUUUACCCAUACUUAAAUAAACUUUAAGUAUUUAUUUUACAACUAAUCUCCACUGAAAGCUCUUUCAAACACUGUUUCCAUGUUGUUUAAAGUGUAAAUGAGGAGGAUAAAGAAAACGUUUAUUAAAUAAAAUAGGAGUUCAGUGACCCACCCGCCUGUAGCCACAGACCUAGUUCCGGGCUAUGCCAAGAAUCAAAGCUAGAUUUUCUUGUUUUCUCAUGUUCUUUUCACUACUCCUUUUAAAGAAGUCAAAGGUUUAGGAGAAGUGACCUUAGUAUGUGGUUUAAUAUCUUUACUUGUCAGCACAAAAUAUACUUCACACUAUUAUGGUGUUUACAUGAAUCAUCCAAAAUAUAAAUACUAAUACGACACCCAAGAUGUGACGAUUAAUCACAAAUAGCAAUAAAAUGUGGCAAGCAUUCAUUAAAUUGCUAAUUCUGUCAAUAUAAAUAUUUCCGUGAAGCUAAAACCUUAAGGAAGCCACAUUAUACCAGUAAUUAAUGAGAGGUGAUGCUGUUCAGUGGGAAGAUGCUUCCAGAUUUUUUUAAACUAAUUUAGUAAUAUGCAAUAUAUCCAGCAACAUUAACAAGUUUCUUUGGCAUCACAAAGAUGAGAUCCUGCUGUUUCUUUGAUAGAACGUUUGCUAAAUCACAAAAGUGAUAAGUAAGGUUAUAUGAGGUAGGAGAUUUCUGGAAAUGUAGUUCCAAAGAGAAAACUUCCUACGUGAUGGAAGAAAACAAAUAAUUUAACUUAGAGAUUUUUCCGUACUAUUUGGAAACAGGUGAACCAUAAAAGAUUACAAAAGCAUUGCCACAUGAUCUUUGGAACAAGGCUAGGACAUGAAGAAUUUAAGAAGCCCUCCUUACACACACAGCCCCAUGCCCUCACUCUUCCCGCCUGGUCUUUUCAUCUCCUCCAUUGCCUGCAAUAUUUAGCCGACAUACAUCAGUCUCAGAUAGCACAUUCUCUGAGAAUCCUCCGCAGCUUCCUCAAGACUUUGGUAAAGACACUCCAGUAUGUUCCUUCACAUCCUGUACUUUGCCCAACCAUUGUCACAUGAUCAGCAGACCUUACUGCGGUUGUCCAUUUACCUGGCAUUAUCUCCCACUAGACUCUCAACUCUACUAGGUGUCCCAUUACCUUGCCCAGUGUUUCACACAUGGUAAGUGCUCAGCUUUGAGAGGGAAGGGGCACGAAAGUGAACCAAGUCCGGUGCAAUUCUUUAUAGCUGACACACACAGGAUAUCUUUUGAGCUCUUUACAGCUCCUUCUCUCACCCACAUUGCAGAUGAGCAAACUGAGACUUGCUCAGGCUAAGAGGUAAGAGGUCACGUCCCAUAAAUGGCAGAAGGAGGAAAUCAAGCCCAUUCUCUUUCCUCACUUAUUCCUUCGUUCUGUGGUUUAUGCUGAGCAUCUUCUACAUGCCAGACAUUAUGUCAGAGCUGGGGAUCCAAAGAUAAAUAGGUUAAGAUCUCCUGAAGCUCUCUGCCUAGUCGGAGAAAUAGACUAUAAACAGUAAUUAUAAUACAGUGUGAUAAGGGCUUUGAUAGAACAAUGUACUCUUGUGUGGUGGGAUUUCCAAAAAAGGAAUCAAGACUGUCCAUAUUCAUUUGCUCUAUUUUAUUUUAUUUUUAAUAUUGUUUUAAUACCCUUUUAUGUCUGAAUGUUUAGUAUAUAACCACUCUAAUUCACAAAAAGGUAGGCAGAGGCAUCUGCAAAUUAAUGAAAGUUAAAUAUUGCAAUACUAUUUCUAAACUAAUUAGUUUUCAUUAUUGUUCAUAUGAUAUGUUAAUUUGAAUAUCAAACAGAGGUCUAUAGAAAAUCUAAUCCAUGAUAGCUUUAAAUGGCUUGCUUAGGAAAAUCAUUAUCAUUGUCAUUUAUAUAACUUGGAAUCCUAGGAUAAUUCUCCAGAGAGAAUUAUCACAAGCACAUUAACCAGAAUAGAUGAGUUGAGGAACUAGGGUAGGAGUGCAAUAUGGCAUGAAGAUGGCUUAGGGUGAGUCAGGAACUCCUAAGACUGUUCUAGAAAGCAGCUGUGUGCCUGAGUUUGGAUCAGAAGUUCAUCUGCUGUUUUUAAAAGUCUUUUAAAGAAAAAGUAGUUCAGUGGAUGAAAAGAUUUAUUUCACUUUUAGUAGCUUUUAAAUUAUUCGUCAGAGAAAAGGAAGUAGCCACGGAAAAUAGUGGUCUUUCAUGAUGGCAAUUAAAAUGUUUUACUGAAUGAAUGAAAAAUAGGUAACUGUCAAUAAACAGCUCAAGUCUAUUUGCAUUACUUACUAAUCACCAAGCCAUUCAAAAUGAAAUGCUCAUAAAGAACAAGCCAUGAACGUACCAGUUCCUGGAAUGAAGUUCCUUGAAGAAAGGGGCCUUGCCCUGUUAACCUGUGUAUUUCUAGUGCUAAGUAGGGUGUCUUGCUCAUGGUUGAAAGGCUUCAACCAAGAUGAGACAACUCUCUCAACUUCAUUCUUAAAUUUAAAAGAGAAUAAACAAGACAGAAAUUGAAGAGACCGAAACUAAAUAUGAAUAAAAUGUAACUCUGCUCUAAAAGCUUAAUUUUAGAAACCUAAGAGCAGUCAGUUGUCAGUGAUUAAGAGCUAGGGAACCCACUGAGUGUUUCAAGUAAUACCUGUUUCUAACUGAAGCAGCCAAACCAGGGAAAAUGGGUAGGAGCCAAUAACGGGGCAGUCACCCCUUCCAAGCAUCUAAAGAAUGCACAGUCAACACAUUCCAGGAGCACCUCCCCCGCUCGCUCAGCCCAGUGACUAUCCACCUCAAACCGCAUUGUGCAAAAAUUAAUAGAGAAAAAACAAAGAUGCUUUUCUGGAAUUGUCAAGUUGCUCCACAUCGGUAACCCUUUCUCUUGUAAUAAGCCAUUGUGAAAAGGGGAAAAGUAGGUACCCAAAAGUUUCCAGUAAAGGAAGUGGAAAGGUCUGCAGGGAUAAACUCAGUAGCCCACAUGGAAUUUGCUAGAUAUUUUUUCCUUCUAGUCACUCUUUAUAAUUUCUCGGUUAAAUCCCCAUCUGACCACCCUCAAAUGAAUCUCAUGUUUUCCCAGUGGCAGAAUGGAGGAGGGGGUGUUCACCUGUAGAAUAAGACUACCCCACCUUCAUUUAGUCAUGUGAAUGGCAUCAGUAGACAAACCAUCCUAUUGCUACGUACAAAUCAAGCAUGUCAGGAAACUCAUUCUACCCUUGAUAACCAGAAGCAAUAAGUCAGCAAAGUAGGUUAAUUGUGUUAUGUCCCUAGUUUUUACAGCUAUGUAGAUACCUAUGGACACCCCUUAAGGGCCACUAGAACUUCAUGUGUACAUAGAUAACUCACUCCCAGUUCCUUUACUUUCUAUCGAUAUCAUCCAUAUUUUUCUUACUAAACUCAUAAAACUUUAGCAAGGUUCUAAAAGUUAAUGAGCCCCAUAUAACUUAAAUUUCUACUGUAAUAAAGCAAGAUAGUUGUAGUGAGGUCUAAUAAUUAUCUGUGUUUAGUAUGAUUUCACAGUAAAUCAUGUUUUAUUGUUUUACAUUGUCCUUAUGGAAUAACACCUGUCAAAAAACAUAUUUGAUCUCUUUUUCGCCAGAGGGGCAUCAUGCUUCAAUCGUUUUUGGGAAAAAAACUUUAUAUUCUAACUUCAUAUUCCAGAGGGAACCUCAAUUAAGAUUUACUUUUCAUUAUGACCAUAUGUUAACUUGAGGUCAUAAUCCUGCUUUUAACAAUCCCUCUCUUUUCUAAAUUAUAGAUUCAGGAGGAUAGAAGUAAGUGUUUGCUUCAGAACAAACCCUGGCAUAUUUCAGUCUUGCUUUUAGGACCAAUCAUUUAUGCAAAUAUUUACAAAAUAUUCUAAAAUAAAUGGCUUUUAUCACUACUUGUCAUGUUAUUUUCUAUUGAAAGUAAAUUUUAUACUAAUUGUAGUUGAUGCAGAUAUUUAAGGCAAUACGUUCUAGUCCAUCCUUUGUAUGAGAAGUGGUUAAUAAGACAGGUUAUUUUUAUGGGAUUAAAGAAGAGAAAUAAACUUUUCCACAAAUAGCUGUAUUUCUUUAUAUCAUUCUGCCAGGUAGAAAAUGUGUGUUGUUGGGUUUUACCUGCGUGGUGUUUUCCUAGUACUAAAGCUAUGUAAUUCUGGGGUGUUGUUGACUUUUUGUGUGUGUGUGUGUGUGUGUAUAUAUAUAUAAAACUCUUGGCAUUUGUAAUUUUUAUCACUCUUAGGUAGAAUAAAUUAACUCAUAAGUGUCUUUCCUUUAUAAUUAUUUACAGAAGAUAUAAUAAUUUACAGUACAAGCCUUCCAAUGAGAAUUUAACUACUUCUGUUGGUCAGUUGAGGGGCAUCAAGAGUUAGGAGAGAAUAUAUCUGCAAGAUUCGGAAUAACAAUUUGGUGUUGAAACCAGUGUGGCUUGUUAAUCUAAUGUGUCCCCAUAUGUCACUCUAGGCAGCACUUAUUCCUUACCACUCAUGCCUGCAAUCUUGUUUUCCCAUUUUUACUUGAUUUUCUAUCUCAUAUCCCUUGCGCGCGCUUGUGUGUGUGAAACAUGACAGCUUUUUGAAAAAUAAUAUAGAUAGGAGGCAUAAAUUCGGGAUUAAGUAGAAUGACAGCCGUAUUUUAACUGUUCUAAAUACCAUACUUUAAACUUCAAAAGAUAUUGUAUAUGUUCAAAAUUGGAAAUUAAGAUGUGAAUAUAGAUUUUUAUUUUAUUUUUACUUUUUAUAUAUUUUUUAUUUUUUUAGUUGCAGUAACAUUGGAUUAUAGCAUUAUAUAGCUUUGGGAUGUACAUCUUAAUAUAUUUCGAAUUUUGUGUAGAUUACAUCAUAUUCAACACCCAAAAAGUGAUUAUAGUCCAUCCUCUCACAUGUGAGCCUAAUCACCCCUUUUGCCCUCCCCCCCCAGAUUUUUAAAUAAUAAGUGCUUCAUCCUAAAGCUAUGAGAUUGAAAAAUGCAUAAAAUAUUAAAUAUAAUUAGCCACAAAAGAGUUACAUUGGGCAGUGAACUGCAGUGUGUGCUGUCAGACUGAUGUCUCUCUCUGCCUAAAGAUUUUGUAACCUAAAUUCAUAAGAUGUAUAUUUAAGAAAUCUUAGUAAUGUCCAUCCAAUAGAAGGGCUUGCCCUUAAUUUGAGUGUGGAUCCUGUUUUCAGUUCUUAUCACUGGAAUCGUUAUUUAAAAGUUCUUAUAGAGAAUACAGAUGAACAGGUUUCUUGGGUUUUUGAGGUGAUUCUAAGCUUUUUCCCCAUGUUAAAUACUAUGAGUUUAUAACUUUACGAUGCUCUAAUAUUUUUCAAAAAAGCAGGUUUAUUAUUUUUCUUUCUUAACAAAAGCUUUAAGGAGAGAAUUCAGUUGAUUUUUAAAAUUUUAAAUGCACCCACUAUGCUCUGUUCCCUCCCUUAGUAACUGACUACUUUUGUAAAAACUAACUUUAAUAUUUAAGAAAUGAAAAAUCCUGGACCCUUAUUGUAAAGCAGUCGGUUAAAAGAAAAGCUACUUUUUGACCCAGCAGCUUUCAUGCCAUGUCUCAUAAAUCAAGUUUAAUGUAUGAUAAGAUAAAGCUUUACUUUGAAUCAUUAAAAUCAAUAUAAGACCACAUAUUUUUCAGAUUUCCCUGAUCUUUGAGACUCUAAGGGGUUUACUCCAAGACCAUGUAAUCAAACCUUAACAUUUUUGGUAUUCUUCUUUUCUCACUGGCUGUUAACACCACAACACAGUGCAUCAAAACUGGAAGCUCUUCCUUAAAAUGAUUAAUUAUAUCUUCAACAUUGUUCAAUCAUAUUUUUCCUAGGGAAAAAAAUCCUCCCCUAUAUAUGUAUAUGUAUUUCUUGACUCCGUAGUUGGCUUAGAUUAAUCUCACUGCUAAUUUUCUUGUUCAAUUGGACGAAAGGAGGACUUCAAGCAUUAUGUUUCUUGCAAAGUAAGAAAAAGUAUCACACAUAAGAAAAUAUCAAAUUUCCAAUGCUUAUUUCCUUUGAGCACUUGACCCGCACAUAUGCAUGCAUGGCAGCCUUCUGCAGCGGAACCAGGUUAUGGAUAAGACCUCUCUUUCAACCUUGGAAAAGGCCUCUAAUCUAUGUGAGAACACAUUGUCCGCACCUAGGGUUCCAAAACAUACAUUGGUUUAAGUGUAUGGAUCCAGUAUUGGAAGAAAGGUAAUUAAAAAAGGAUUUAGAAAUUGUUUUGAAGAAUGCAUUUGCUGCAAGGUGGCAUAGCCAUGUAAACAUGACACUACCAUCUUAUGGAAUGUACAAAAAAGGGGUGGCUCUUGUGCCAAAUAAACAUUCUUCAAUUAACGCUUCACAAUAUGUAGUGUGAACGUUCAUAGUCUGUGUUUAUCCAUCCUGAGGCUGCUACUUUUAAUGCCUCAAAAACUGUUGCCUGUGUAUAUUCUCCUUCUGGUGGAUCCUGGGGGAAGAUUUGAUUACAGGCACAUUUUCCCCUCGAGUCUGUCUAAUAAGCUAAACUAAAACCAAAUGAAGACAAGAUAGAAGGCAUUGUACGAUGAAUUAAGUUGAGUCUUAUAAACAGAGGUUUGAAAGGGCUGCAAGUAAACUAACGGCCUAAUAGAAUCUUUGCAUUUGAACAUAAAAUACUCAUUUUGAAUUCUAUAAUUAGGAUACUCAUAUAUGAAAAGUCUCCUACCCAGGAUGUUUUUGGUCAUAGUUUUUGGGUAAAAAGUUAUUUUAUUUUAUUAUGAGGUUUUGAUUAGGGAUUUUGACAUCCAUUGUCUAUUUGCAGAGAAACGAUGGCUUUUCCGAAUGAAAUUGACUGUAUUACUGUUCUGUCCCUUUUCCUACUGAGAGACUUACUUUCACAUUCUUUGUUUUGUCUGUAAUACUCUUACCUUUUUAAAAAAUAAUACACAUUCCUUUUCAUUAGUUCCAUUUAUUUAAGUAUGAUAUAACACCUUGAUUUUGAAUGGCUAUGAAUAGCUUUAUGCGUAAUUCUUCAAAAGGUCAAUGUUCAAAUGAUUAUGAUGGUUCCCUUCUUUAUAUUUAUUGUAUAUUUCUGCAUAUUCUGAAGCAAGAAGAAAUGCUUAUCUUUGGGAUGGCUUAAAUAAUGUUGCCCCAAUUUCUCAGGGAUAUUCACAUUUCUUGGAGCAGCCAAAAUUCACAUCACAUCAGCAGUGUACAGACUCAAAAUGUUCGGUGAUUCUGCUUUAAGCAGAAGGGCGUAUUUCCCUUACAUUUUAUUAAUAAAUCUAUUUCACAGUUUUUUUCCUGUGUCUAUAUCUUGAAUUAUUUUUUCUUUGCUUAUGUUAAAUUCAGUUUCAAAGCCCUACUUAAAAUGCUGGUGUUCACAUACCUUGUUUUAUGGCACUUUGCUUUACUGUGCUUUGUAGAUACUGCAUUUUUUACAAAUUGAAGGUUUCUGGCCACUCUGUGUCCAGCAAGUCUGUCAGCACUGAGGGCUCAUGAUGGUUCGCAUUUUUCAGCGAUGAAGUAUUUUUUAAUUAAGGUGUGUACGUUGUUAUUUUAGACAUAAUGCUAUUGCACACUUAAUAGACUACAGUAUGGCAUAAACAUAACUUUUAUAUGCACUGGGAAACCAACACUUUCAUGUGACUUGCUGAUUGCGAUAUUGCAGUGGUCUGGAACCAAACCUGCAAUAUCUCAGAGGUAUGCCUGUGGUUAAAUAGUCCUUUCAAGCUCAGAUGUUAGGCCUUGUUUGGUCCUACUGACACUACUUAUUCCAAUUAAACAUUAUCCCAUUCCCUCUGAGCUUGCUGUUAGGUGGUGGUAGUAGAGGUCGGACCAGCCUCUUGCAGGAGAUACAGGCCUGGACUUGGCAGAUAAUCCGGUCAAUGAGUCUGAAUCAAGUGAUGGCUCUUAGACCCUUGUUGCAUUCACAGGUAGUUCCAACAUAGCUAGGGAGAUGCUUUCUGAACUACAGACAGCUGGCCUUCCUCUCGCUGCAUAUAUUCCUCCUUUUAUCAUUGCCAGCAUUUUCAGUUCCAUUUAUUAUUUUCACUGGAGGAGACAGGCCUUGUAAUAUUAGCCUUGUUAUAUAUAUUCUCUUAUAUGUAGUAUAUAUGUACAUAUUACUUAGAUCAUAUAUGAAUUAGAUCCAUUCUUUCCUAAUCAUUUUUCUAAAAAUAAAUUAUUUUUAAUACCAGUAGGGCUAACAGGUAAUGGAUCUUCUUGGUGUAGAAUCUUAAUCUAGAACUAAGUGAUGCUCUCUGAUAACCAGACCUCUAGGUAUAAGAAUUUUCUUUCAUAUUAGAAACAUGGUUAGUAUGACCUAAAGCUCCAACUUGUUAUUACAUUUAUGAAAUUCAGUUCUCUGGCAACUUCUUUUCUUACUCAAUUUAUUUUCCCUUAGAGCUGAGUUAUUUUGCACUAGGGGGGGACUUAAAGGUUUUCUGUGCUCCGGUCACAACUAGAAAAUGUAAUGAAAAUUCAUGUAAUGAAUUUUGCAUGUAUAAGUGGAAAGAAGUGGGGAUGCAUUGUCGUUUGAAAACAAGGUUGAGCAUAUUUUUAAAAAUUGCCAUAAUAAACAGAACCAACAUUUGUUAACAAAACACACGCUAAACUACUACCAUCUAAACUUCAAAUGAAGACAACUGGGUAAAAUUAAUAAGGUAUCUUCUGAGGUCAUUUCCAAAGGAAAAAGAGUCAGUCACAAAAUCACCAAGUGUGGUGAAUGCACCAUUUAAGAGUUUGCCUAAACGCUGACGGGAAUUAGAGGAAUGGCGGCAAAAAGCAUCCUGAAUGUAGGUAGAAAUAGAGGUACACUCAACUGGUCAAGUGUAGCAGGAUUUCUGUUAUCCAAUGGCUGCCUUAGUGAUUGGGGAUAGAUUAGAAGGCAUGUCUUCAAAUUAUCUCAACGCAUCUGCUCAGUGGAUGAAUAGCGGGUGAUAUGGAGGUUGUCUGGUAAAUCCCAAGUGGAAGAGGAUAUAAGACAGUGAACCAAGAGAGCAAAGAAUGUGAGAGAAACAUGUCUGAACCUCAUAUGUUGUUAAAUUCUGAAGCCCUUAGUAAUUUCAUCUUUUUUUUAUUAUGCACUAUUGUUAUUUCUCCUCAAGAACAGACUGUUCUGUGACUUUUCUUUCCUGUCUUCCUAUUUUUAAAAAUAGUAUCUCACACAUUUUGUACUUCAUCUCAAGGAAAAUUUACAAGGUUUCUUUAAAUUCUUAACUCAGUGUUUUUCAAGAUAGGACAAACCCUUCUGAAGAAAGGAACACAAAGUUCCAGACAUAUUUGAGGUAUGUAAAAACUUCGAAGUACCUGGAUACUAAAGAAUUGUAGACACAGCUUAGGUAACUGUCCUGAAAAUUAGGGAGACCAAAUGCUACCUCCUUGUUUAGAAAUCCUACCUCUAUCAUGCCUUCAAGAAAGCGUUUUUCCAAAAAGAGUUUUGACUGUAAGGAGUAAAUGAAUGAAUAAGCAUUUUUUAUUCAACAAGCUCAACUUUGUUCCACUGCUUCUGUUCCUUUGUUGUUAUGAUGUGUGCUUCUAAUUCAUGCAAUACCCAACAUAUUUUCCUUCUGUUGAAGAAAUAAGCCUUACUGAAAUACUUUCCCUUCUAAACAAUGGGACAUAUAUAUAUUUGAAAUUUUCUUGUAGUUAACAGAGAUCUAUGUGGGAGUGUUGUCUAGAAUAUUGGUAAAAAUCUUUCCAAAUACCCUCAAGGCAACCUGAACAGGGAUGGAGAGUAGUCAGAGCAGAAAUAGGCCUCUAUUUCCCUGCAUUGUUUAUCAAAUUUUUUCAAAAUAACAAAUAAAAGAGAAAAGAAGCUAUAAAAAUUAUCCAAGUUAUAUGAGCAUGUACUACUCAUUUUACAAUUUAUAAAAUUGGAUAUCUGUGGUUUUGAUAAGUUAUUGGUGUCACAAGUCAGCUUCCUUUAAAACUGGUUGGGAUUAAUUGCGAAUCCACCCAAUGGAUCCCCUCCUACACUAGGGAGAAAGUUCCUCAUUGCUACUGCUCUGAGGACAGAAGGACCAGGGUGCGUGGAAGAAACCAGUAGAAGGACCUGUACAUAUUAUGUUUCCCUGACUCGUUCACUCACCUCCUCUUCCUCCCCAUAAGUAGUAAAUGUGUAUUUUAGGGUCUAUGUGCGAGAAUUAUUUAAAAAAUUAUUAUGUGUUGGCCCGAUGGCUUAGCAGUUAAGUUCGCAUGCUCCACUUCAGUGGCCAGGGGUUCGUGGGUUUGGAUCCCAGGUGUGGACCUAUGCACUGCUGAUCAAGCCAUGCUGCGGCAGAUGUCCCACAUAUAAAACAGAUUAAGAUAGGCACAGAUGUUAGCUCAGGGGCAAUCUUCCUCAGCAAAAAGAGGAGGAUUGGUGGCAGGUGUUGGCUCAGAGCUAAUCUUCCUGAAAAAAAAAUUAUUAUAAGGUCAUCUUUUCCAAGGAGUCUUUCAUAUUUUUCAUGGGUUUGUAAAUCUAAAACUUUUUUGGAAGGGAUACGUGAAUUGAGAUGACAUUAUUACGGUUUGGAAAUUUUACUUAUCUGAUUCUUCAUCUCAGAAUAACAGUGCCCUCAGAUCUGAAAAUUCUGCUAGUUGUCUCUAUUUCUUUUUACCCUACUAGACCUUACGUACAUCAGUCAAAGGGCAAACUUCGGGUUGUUUUUCCUUUGCUCUUUGUCCUGUUUCACAUCUUCAAAGUCCAGUAAAUCUGUCACCACAUUCCAGGUGCAUACAGCCAAGUUUAAGAAAUAGAAAUGAAUUGGGAAUUUUUUUUUUCCAUUUAACAAAAUUUGCUUUGAAAGUAGCAGGUAAAAUAACCUCAAAUCGAUCUGUUUACAUGGAAAUGUGAUUUUGCAUUUAUAUGUCACUUUUUUUUCACUAGGGUUAAAGUUGCAAAAUUGACAUUCUAAUCCAAUGUGGUAGCUUAAUGCUUUUUCAGAUGGGGAAACCAAAACCUUGAAGCGAUAAGUAGCUGUCUGUAGUUGCACAGUGAACACGGCAGAGACGAAAUCAGAAAUCAGAGUUUCUAAGUUUCAGUGUAUUUUUUCAUCUUUUUCUUUUAUAUGUCAAAUUCUCAAAUCAGAAAUGCUAUGUGCUUUCAAAAUUAAUUUAGACCUCUCAAAAACACUUGUCCUACGAUACUCUUAGGCUUACUUUUCUGAGACUUAAGUGCGUAUUUUCAAAAGGUUAAAAAUGUUAGAAAUGUGAAUGAAACAGAAAUGCAAAUAAAAGCUCCAAACUGGUAGAUUUCUUGUUUUGAUAAAAUCCUCGUGGAAGAUUUGGUACAAACUUUAAUGUUCUGCCAGCAGACUUUAUUCGUUGGGAUAGAUAUAUGAUGUAUUGCUAAAUGCUCUUUUAUCAUGUAAUUUGAGAUUACCACAUGGGAGAGGACAGAAUAUUUUGUUGAUAUGUCCUUUGAACAUUAAUGUAUUCAGUGGCUACUCUCAAAGCACCUACCAGAUAAAGAAAAGUCUUAUCUCUAACUGAGUUUUUAGUCGUGUAAUAUGUAGUCAGAUCAGAAAUAGAUGAGCAACAAAGUGAUUGAUUUUGAACCAAUGGAUAAUGAACCCAUGGAAAAAUGAAUGAUGACCAAAACUUAUAAGCAAAGGCUUUAAAGAAAUUGUAUUAGAUAUUAUGAUUCUAUGUUUGAUAAAUUGUAAAAUUCAAAUAAAAAUGGAAAACAUCUCUAGGCCACCAAUGAUUCAGUUAUGCCAAAGUUACUCAGCUGUUUUAAAUCCUUAUAACACUCCCACUUCUGCAAUGUUACACGACAGAGGAACUGUUAAUAGGGAAAGAGACACAUGGAUAAAAAUAUUGAUUUAAGCGCUAUUCAUAAUAUCAUCCAAUUGGAACCCUUGGAGAUCCUCAGCAGUUGGUAAACAGUUAAGCAAAUUAUAGUACAUUCCCAAGGUGAAAUUUUAUACAGCUACUUAAAUUAUUAAUUAGACAAACAGUAGCAUGUGAUGAAGUAAAGAACAUGAGCUUUGGGAAGGGACAGACCUAUGUUUGAAUUCUUCUGUCUUCCAGAAUGUUCAGAAUACAAAGACGUUCUUAGAAGGGCUCUCCAGGAUCUUCCUGGUACGGUGUAGACUGCCUGUGUGGCUGGAUGGUGAGAGCCAAAUUCAAAAGUGCGCUCUCAGAGAGGCCAGUUUAAUUGUGAGAGGUUGUGUGACAAAACACUUCAGAGAUGAACUUCAAGAUCAGAUAGGCCAGGAUGAAAUUGUAGCCAUUUACCAGUGGUAUGACAUUGCGUAUAUUACUUAACUUUCUUCGAGCUCAGAUUCCGUGUGAAUAAUUUGCAAAUAAUGAUACCACUUACCUCAUGGAGUCAUUGUGAUGAUAAAGUAGCAUGAUGUAUACCAGCACAGGACUAGAUAGGAAGGGGGUAUUGUAUACAUGGUAAUUCUUGGUAUUAUUGUUGUUGGGUCAUUAUACUAAUUUUAAAAAAAAAUCCUAUUCAAAAAGGUUGUAGUUGUUCAUUUUUGUCUAAAUAAUUCAUUUCCAGUAUUACAUCGAGGACCCUCUGGAACUGUGCUCCAGUCCAACUGCCUGGCCAUUUUUCCUAAUAACAUUCCUGCAUAAGCCAGCAUUUUCCCACUCUCACCUGCUCAUUUCCCAAACAUUGCAUGAAUCCCCACCUUGAAGCCUUUCCUCUUUCUCUGCCCUCAGACAAGAUGUCUUUUCUCUCUAACUUUGUCUCCUCUAACAGUCUCUCUUAUCCUUCAAGGCUCAAGUGGAGCUUCUGUAUAGCACUCGAUAUUUACUGCCUCUCUCCCAGUGUUCUCAUAGUACUUUGUAUCAAAUAGUAUACUUCACAUUUUCCGUGCAUUAUAAUUUUGUUUGUGUAUUAAGCUGUUUGAGCACAGAGGCCAUUUACCCCUCAUUUUAUUAAUUCUUUUAGCAACUUAGUCACUUGUACACAGUGGACUCUCACAAAAUAUAUGUCAAAUUCAAGUGACUGAAAGCUCUAGAAAUAACUUUGUGUAACUCGUGGCACUCUUUUUGACAGAUAUGUACCAUUUGAAAUGCCCAUUUGACUGUGAUUUUUCUAAUUUUUACGUGUAAAAUUUUCAUUUAUAUGAGGUUGGUUCUAAAAAGGCAAAAGGUGUUGGGAUACUUGACCCCAAAUCACUUUUUUCCCCUUCUCACUUCAUUUUAAUUAAUUGCACAGAUAUAAGGCUUAUGAGUACAGUUAGAUGGGUAUAAGAUCUUUCUGUCUAGGCUAGUUCAUGGACACAGCCUUCAUGUAAUUCACAAGCUCUAUCCUUGACUUGCUUACUACAAUCCCUAUAAUAUCUUGGGAAAUUUUUACUACUUAAAGAUACGGAAAGAUAAAUGCAUUGAUUAAUAUGAUAUUCUUGGAAGACUUGUGGAUCCUCUGGAAAGAAAAUAGACUCGAGAUUUCAAACAUAAUGUGUUACCAUUCUUUCUUUGGAAAGGAAGACAUUUUAGUUCUUUAAAACUGAUUAAUUAUGAAGGUGGUGAGGUUGGGGGAAAGAAAAAGCCAAAACCUGAGCCUAACAUGAUGUAAGCUGAUCUUGAAAGAGUUCCUAAUUUUAGUCUAAUUAAAAUUUUUUUUGAGCAGCCUAGUCUGUGACUUCACCCACUGAUAGCUAAUAUCAAUCAAGCCUCAAAAGAUAGAUGCUCACCGUGUGGAUUUUUAUUUCUUCAUAUCUUUAUAAACGUAUGAACCAUUUUUAUAGGAAUUUACUCACUGAGUGAUUGAAAAGAUCAAUUAAACUGCAAAAUCCGAUAUAUAUGUAAACUAUAUGUGUGUAUAUGUAUUUGUAUACCUUAUAUAUCUAUGUAGAUUUUGUCUUUCCCAAAGAAUUUAUACCCAAAUUAAUGGCCACUUCCCUCCUAAACUAGAGAAUUUGUGUAAACCCUUGGAUAAAACAUUCUAAAAUGUUUCUUGAUAUCCACUUUCUGACAAGGAGUCAGUAUAUUUGCUAAUCCAAUCAAAGAAUCAAAAUGCCUGAUUGUAACCUUACAAUUUCUAAAUAUUCCGAUUCCUUUCUCUUAGUAUUUCAUGUUGGAUGAAUAUUACUAAAAUCCGACCCUGGAUAGAGAAGUGACUGGACUUGCCAGAGUUUGAUAAAGAAAACCUGUCAAAAUUUAAAACUAUCAAGGUCAGAGCAGACUUUCAAAAAUUUUUAUUCCUGAUCAUGUGCAGUGGUGAACUUAAACUUUAAAGAUAAAUCCAUCAGUAUUUUGCAAGUCAAUGUAAGUUCCAGUUAUCUUUUAUGGUAAAUAGAGAAAAAAUUGUUUAAAUAGUAUAUAUUUUUCUCCAAAUAGAAAAGAGACAAAUUGGGUCAUGUGUAAUCCUAACUUGAAAGCAUUAUUUGAUUUAGGAAGGCUCCAGAAUAUGUGUUAAGAAUCUUAUCUUAUGAACCCCUCUCUUCACCCACCUCCCUACCUUCUCUUCAUGUUCACCUUUAUGUAUCAAAACUGGACUUCUCAUCCCUCCCUGAAUAUAUAUGUUUAUUACUUUCUACUUUGUCAAGGUCCAGACCACUUCUAAAUAAGUAAAACUCUUAUCAUUUCACCAUUGAGACUGGUUGAUACUUGUGUAUCAUUACAAACAGAAAUAUACAUGUAAGCAAACAACUAAUAUAAAUAAAUGCUGCCUCGAUGACUUAAAAAAUCAAUUAUUAGGAUUAAAAAGGCUUUGUUAAAUAGCAAAUAUAAUUCUUUAGGCUAGUUUAAUGGUGAUUAUAUUUAAAUACAUACUUUUAAAAUGUAUGUUGUGACUCUCAACACCUAGCCCAAAGAAAUUGAAACUGUUAUUAUCACACAAGUUUAUAUGUAAUAUGCUUAACAAAGGAUUUGAAAUAUUGAUGCAAUACCGUGUCUUGCUGGUACUUAAUAAAGAGUCAAGCUAAUACUAAUGGACAAAAUAAUCCUUUGGCAUGAUAAGAGUGAAAUUCACAAAUAGAUAUGGAAUAUUUGCCAAUUUUAGACCAUUUUCUCUCAGUCUACCAGUUCAAAAGUAGAUAAGAAUCCUCAAGACAUUGACUAAUUCAUUGCUUAUUACAUUUAGUUGUUAGCUGGGCAUAUUGCACGAUAUUACCAGUUGGGGAACACCCAAGACAAUUAUUUUCUGCUAAGAGGCCACUCCCCUAUUUUUUCUCAGCUGAAAUUGUCAUGGGAAGUCUAUUUUGUUUGUCUUGUUAUGAACAAGAAUUUGUGGAACAGUUUCUUGUGUUAUUGGUACAAGUGAUUUUCUAUUAGAGAUUAUGAAGAGUCCUGGAUAUUUUAAUUUUUACAAAGAUAAUGUUCAUAUGUAUAAGCGUGUGUGCAUAUAUGCAAAUAUGUUACAGGUGUUUUGGAAAUAUUACUCAUUUGAAUGAAUAUGUAGACAUUACAGGAUCACAAGAUUCUGCAAUACAUGUGAAUUCAAAGAACUAAAAUGUUUAUAAGUAGCACUGAAAGCUUCCAUUGUGAAUUUCCGUAUGAAACUGACUUUAAUAAUGCAGGAGAGAACACAGUGUGGGAGUUGCCUAAUUUUAGUCCUAUUUUAAAACAAUGCAAACUUUGGUUGCUUAAUUUUAAAUGAUAUAUUUAUAAAAUUAAGCUGUCUCCAUUCAAGAAUGUUUUCUACAAGGUUGACUUUCCCCUCUAUUCCUCAAGAAUAUUAUCUACUAGACUCUGGUUAUUUCUGGAUUGGUUGGCUCAUAUUUGAAAAAGGACAAAUUGUUUCUGAACGGUGCUCACCCCCGAAGUGAUGAAAUUAAAAAACAAAACUUUUGGAAUUUUACGUUUCAGGAGCAACAGGAUAAGCAGAUAUAUCUUGGUGUUUUUGAAAUGAUGUGCAAUAUUGCGGACAUUUGACCUGGAAAGGACUUAAGAUCAUUUUUCUGGAGAGGGGAACUAAAGAGGUUAUGUGCCUUCCUCUAGAUCCCACAGCUAGUUAAUAACAAGAGGCGGAUCUCCUGCAUUUUGGUUAAGUGCUAUUUUCUAUUACCCUGAAGUUCUUAAUCCUCACAACACUAAAUAUUUCAUUAUUUAUUGCAUCACAUUCUUAACUGUUCCAGACUGUUUUUUGUAGUCUGUGUACACAGUGAUUGACACACAAAACUCAGUCACAUGUUUACAAGUGCACGAACCUCAACACCUUUAUAUGAUUUUAAUAUCUAAUGAGGAAUGGCUACUACUGUGUGAUCACCGUCUGUCAUUCAAUAUAAAGUGAAAGUAUGCUUUACUACUAUUUAUUUUUUUACUCAUUUUAGGUAGAGGUAAAAUUCCUAACCAAGUUACUGACUGUCAAUCCAGGGUAGUUGAAACAGCCACAUCUCUGAAUAAGACGGCCAAAUAAUGAAAAUAACUUGUUUACUUGUAUAUUGAUUUAACUAAAGAAGGAAAAGGAAGUAUAUUUGUGAUUUGCUUGUGUAUUGUUUUUACCAAAAUAAAAACUGGAUUGAGAAGUUUGCCGGACAUAUAUAAUCAUUUUCCCAAGGGGAAUAUCUUUUUGAGGGCCCUAAGGAAGAAACUAUGCAUUCCAAUCAAUAUGUUGUGCAUAGUUUAAAUGCCAAGGAUACAUUUACUCUCCUGGGUUUUUAUUUGCCUAAAUGUACCUAACUUUUAUGGAAAGCGCUUUCCAUCAAGCAUUGGCUGCACCAGGUUUUGUUUUGGCGAGUCUUAACUUUUACCCCAUAUGCAGUUCAAAGCUUCUAGGGCAGAGCGAAAGUGGCUACUGCUCUUGGGUUUCUCCUCUAGUGCCAGAACCACCACCCCGAAAGACUGCAUGUGGAACAUUCCUAAUCCGAGUUUGUUUCUCCCAGGACUCUGGCUCCCUGGGGAUUUGCCCGCCUAGCUUGAUGGAGGCUGAGAUAUGUAUUAUGGAAUUUAAGUGAUGCAGAAUGAAAAACCAUAAUUAUCCAAAAGAAAACAAAGGUGAGAUUGAUCUGUCUUGAAUUGGCUGACAGUUUUGCUGUGUCAGGCUAUUUCCUUGAUCAAUGAAAGCAUACCGUCUAACCCUUAGCAAAUCAGUGCAAUUGAUUGGAAAGGAUGGGAACAAAGCAUGGGAAUGCAGGAUGCACUUGAACUUCCCUGUUCAGAAAUAUUUAAAUGAUGUUUAUAACGCUUAGAAGCAUAUUCCUUUACUCCCAUGUCGUGGAAGCUUCUUCAGCCUGCAUUGAAAUCCUAUGUAACAAAGUUUGAGAGUUUGCUGUAGCGACAUUCUUCCUGAAAGAAUAUGUUUUGAAAAGUUAAGCUUGUCUCAUAGUAUUUAAACUUCUAAAAGUGCAUUAAUCCAGUAACAAUUUCUAUCACCGGGCAUAGAGGUAGCAAAGUGAAAAUUCAAUCUUGAAAAGAACAUGUAUGAUUGUAUGAUAUCAAGUUUCCAAAAUAUACAUUAUUUUAAUAGGAAAAGAUUAAGAGAGAAAGUAAAGUAUCUAUAAAGAGAGAAUGCUUUUUUAUUUAAAAUAAUUUACUGUAUCAUUUGUGCUCCACUUCCUACCUGUCAUGAUCAAUGGAUAAUGUAUUUUCUUGGUAAUAAAAAACCCUAGAAUUUUAGCAUAUUUUUUCAUAUUGAAGAAAACUCUAACAAUCUAGAAUAGAAAUGAACAAUCAGAAUAAUAUCUAUCGAUAUCUUUAUUCCACCUCACUUAAGCAGCCUUUCAAAAUGAGUAUUUUUAAGAACCAAAAAAUAUGUUUUUAAAGUUUUUCAUAGUUGAUAGAGAUUUUUAAAACUAUCAUUCCCCAGAUUUUUUUAUAUCUUUUUUUAUUACAAAUUUCUAAGAUCCACUUAAGGAGGUUUUAUAAGCUGACGUAUUUUAUCCUGACAUUUUAAAUGCACUAUUAAAGCUAAAAUAUGUCUAUUCAAUCAAUGAAUCCUAAUUUUUUUAUCCAUAUAGGCUAAUUUUUGCAAGUAGUUAUGCAAGGAAACUGUGCAUUCUUCUCCUUAGCACAUAUACCAUAACAGUUAUACACAUUUUUCUAAAUCUUAGAAAAUUACUACCUCCCUAGUUGUAAAAUGAAAAUAUUUUGUAUAUUCUUUCAGAUAAAUGAAAAUUUAAAUGUAAGUAGGAUAAUCCCCCCAAAAAUCUAGUCUAACAUUUUUAUAUUGUGAAAUGAUAACAUUUUUGAGAUUCAGUUAUUAAGUGAAAUAUCGCAGGGACAGAGGAAAAAGACAGAUCAUUAGUCUUUAUGGGGAUAAAUGCUACUGGACUACGAGGAUUCCAUGAGACAAUUCUGUAUACAAAUAUCUCAAUAGUAUGUAGUAAGGACCAAUAUGUGUUUCCAGUUUUACUCCCCUUCCAUUGCACAAAAGUUUAGAGCUGAAUUCGGCCUUGGUGAUUAACUUCCUCCUCCCUCCUAACAGUACAGAGGAGAGAGUUAAAUGACUUAUCUAAGACCAUAAACUUUAUUAUUUACUGAACAGGUACUAGAACCACUUUCCUGACUCCUACAUCAGUUCUCGUCCCCCUUCUCAACUUUGUUUCAAAGUGAUGUAUGUAAUACCAUAGUGAAAAUAGUAUUCUUCUAUAAUUGUUAGCUAAAACAUAAAUUAUUGCUCCUUUGCCACAAUAUGCAAGCUCUAAGGAUGACAGUGAUUCUAAAAUCACUUGAUAUCAUUUAAAUCCUUUCCAUUUAUGUCCUGUUAAAAAGCCAAGACUAGUUCUUUUCUCUUUCACCUGUUAGGAAGUGUCAACAUAGCAGAAACAUCCCUUUUUUGAUUAUUAGUAUGCAUAAUGCUAAUGCUAACUCUUGAAAAAUGCUUUUCCAGAUUUAAAUAUAAUUUGAUGUGCCAUAACAUUUCAUGGUGUCUAAACUGGCCCUCAUUGUCUCACCCUGACUUUCUCCUGAAAGCGAAACAUUCCACCAGCAUCCUCAAGACCUAUUCGUUCGUAUGUGUGCCUGUGCAACAGUGGCCCUUAUUGUCACUUUCCCCUCAAGACCUCCCUCAAGUUCACGUUCUUGCUCUAAUUACCCCGUCUCAGACUUGCUCUCCUCAAGUCUCAUCUCUCUGGUGAGGCUUGGAAUGCAAUCCCCUUGUGGAUAUUGAUGACAGAUUGGAUUGGCAAGUGGGAUGCACACUUGAGGAAAGCAAAGCGGGGAGGGGAAGAGGUCAGGAAAAAGGAGGGAGGGUGGGAGUGAGAGAGACUGCCAAAGAGAGUUACAAUCAUAUACAUUUCCUAAAUAGAAGAGUGAACGUUAGCUUUCACAUGCUAGAGUCUAAAGGAUCUUCCCAGAAAGGAAGAGAAAUCUAUGUGAUACUUCUUUUUCCAGGUUAGUUGUGAUGCUUUCUACUUACAUAUCAAAAGAAAGAGAGAGAGAAAAGGAAUUUCAGGUUGACAAAUAAACCUUUUGCAUCCCAGUCAAAGAAUAUCUGAGUUAAACACUGAAUCAUCCUUCAGCCCAAACACUAAACUUCUAAAAGAAAAUAUAGCUCAGGUGUUUUUCCUGGUUAAAAACCAGCUGGAUUCUUUACCAUGAAAUUUUUUAAGCAAUAACUCAUAUACAAUUAUAUUUUACUUUAUUUUCAUUUUGCUUAGGAUAAUUAGUUCCAGAAUUUGAUUUGUAACUCGGAAUUAUCUUAACAAGAUCUACAAACACACACCUUCUGGUUUUUUCCUUAGUGUUUUAUUUGAUAGACAAUUCCCAUCCAGAUGAUACGUAUCCAUUGGCAUUUGAUUUUUGUCUCCCUUGCCCUUUAAUUGUUCUUCCGUUUUUCUUUACAAAAAAAAAAAAAGAAAAAGUCCAAAGCAAAAGUUGUUGGUGCUCUUAACUGCUAUUCUUUCCUUAUAUGACUAGGAUUUUUAAAAAUUGCUUUUUCUCUGGAUUUUUGCUACUUACACUAUUACAUGCCUUCUUUAUUGAAAACAGGAAUAUGUGAUAUGUGCUGUUUGACGCUAAAAAGAGCAUGACUGUCAUUUCUGGAAAGCUUAGACAAAUAAGCAUCUCUCAGAUUUAUCCGGAGAUUUAGGCCUCAGUAUUUUUUGUGUCUUCUGAUAGUUUUGUUAUUAACAACCUUAAAAGUUAAUUUCUGUAUAACGUUCACCCUUAAGUAGUCUUGCAUAUUUCAAAACUAUUGGUAGAUAAAAGCACUAGAUGCUCCUUAGUCAAAUGAAAUUCUCUUAUUUUAGAUCCUCAAAUACAUCAACAUAGAUUCAUUCUCUUAAAAGAGACUGGAAUGAAAGUAUUGAGAUCCAAUGAUCAGUUAUGCUAUAAACUUCUCACAAAGACAGAGUAAGUCAGCACUGUCCAAUAAAACUUUCCACAAGGUUGGAAAUAUUUAAUAGUUGUGUUGUUCAAAAUGGUAACCACCAGCUACAUAUGCUGUUACAUACGUUUGAAAUAUGGCUAGAGCAACAGAGGAACGCAAUUUCUACUUUUGUUUAAUUUUAAUUAUAAUUUUCACAGCUACAUGUGGUUGGUCGCACCUUCUUGGAGAGUGUACGUUAAGCAAAACAGAGAAAACAUUAUGCAAGUAAUAAAAAACCAAUAUAUUCUGCACAUCCACAAAUUUUGAGUUAAAGUUUGAACUGUAGAUCGUUUUUUGUCCUCCCCCUUACCCUAAACCUCACCAAUGUUUUUAAAUACAACUCCCAUAAUAACACUGAUUUCAAAUGGCCUUUAUGAGAAAUAAAACAUCCCUGCCUUAGUAGUAAAGUAGAGGGCAGUUGUAUUAAAGAAUUUCAGAGUAGUUCCUUCUUCCUUUUACUUAUCGUUUGCUAUACAUUCAGAUCUAUCUUAGCAAUUUUUUAAGUUAGAACAAAACUCGAGUAACAUAUAAAACUAAUUGAUCUAGCAAGACCAUACUUUCAUUGCAUCACUUAAAUAUGAAACAGAAUGAAAUUUUACUUUGUAAAUACUUUAGCCAUAGUCAAAAUCUUAUUUAGGGAUAGUUCAGUAUUGGUGAUUAGAAGUUUAGAAUCAGAAGAGACCUUAAACCCCUAUCUAUGAUAGUCGUAAUUGAACUGAUUGAUUACAACAUCUUCCUUCAAAUAAAGAUUGAUUUACUCAAGUCUGCAUUCCCAUUGGCCCUAACAGUGGUCUUGACAGAAGCCUGGACACUGGAAACUGGCUAACCCCUGUCUAGACAUAAAUAUUUUAAAUGCCUGGC